rnacentral:lncRNA from 1 species
UUCAACUAUAAAAUGACUAAGAAAACAUUGAUAACUGUACAAUCCUUUUUAAAAAAAUAAAAAUAUAAAAAUACUAUAAGCCAUUAAAACCUAGUUAGAUGCCCUUACAUAAUGCCAAUAAAGACAAAUGUUGACAUAUUCCAUCAUCAAUAAUCAGAAGAUGAUAGACAACUACCAAAUAUCCAGCAAAUAAAUAGCAAAUUGAAAGUCAAAUCACGAAGAAAAUAUAUUUGAACAUACAAAAUUUCCAAGCAAAUAGAAAUCUGAAACAAAUUUAGCAAAAUAUAACACAACAAAAAUUAAAUCACUACAAAUAAGCCAGAGAGAGAGAGAGAGAGAGAGAGAGAGAGAGAGGUUUGCAUUGUUGUUUUAACUAGCAAAGAAGUUUCAAUCUAACAACUAAAGUAGGAAAGAACAUGCCAAAAACUGAUUCAUAAAGUGCCAGUGACAAAAAGAAACAACGGUGAUUUGGUGGGGAAGGUACAAUAGAUAGAAGAGAGAAAAUUAGUAAAAGUUAGCACUUAGCAAUAUGAAUAGAUGUCGAAAAUGCUACAAACCUCACACAGUUAGAACGAGGUAAAAAAAAAAUCCUAACAAAACUAUCACAAACAAUGAAUGGCAAAGGAAGGUAAAGGAUCUAUUCUACUAUACGAAUUCUCUUAUUAAGAUAUACGAAGAGUAAACUAAGUCAAUCUAAAGCAAGUGCUUCACUCAAUCAUACAUGCCCUAAGAAUUAAGCCAUACCUUGCUAUGUUAACCCUAAGAAUUUGGCAAAUAAUGUAAGCCAGUAUAAAGUCCAAUUCUUAUUUUGGAUCACAAAUGGGUUUGAACUAGUAUGAAGACCCAAAAACGAGCAGUUCAACCAUGAAACAGAGACUAAUGGCGGCUCCUACUUUGGACUGCCAGAAGAGCUUUGAAGAGUUGAAACAAAGACUGAUGACGGCUCCUAUCCUUGCCCUUCCAGUUAUGGGUGAAGGAUAUGUGAUCUGCAGUAAUGCAUAACACAGCGGUUUGGACUGUAUAUUGAUCACUCGACAAAUGCCAUUACUUGAAGAGUGCGGCAACUUGGACUUGAGGUGGUGUCCCUUGGGGCUAUCCAAAGUAGUACAAAAACUAGUAUGAAGACCCAAAUUGUUUCUCCAGGGAAAAAAAAAAAGUUUUUCAUAGAAAACAUUCUUUUCACAAUUUCGUUUUUCAAAUAAAAAAAAUUUGUAAGAAAACGAAAAUAAUACUUUUCCAUGAAAUUAGGAAAAAAAGAUUUUCAAAAAAAUUACUUAGGAACCAAACAAAUGAAAAAUAGUUUUCCAGCCAGAAAAUUAUUUUCUAGGAUAUUUUUCAACAAACCAAACACCCCAUUAGCUCCCAAAAAUUUGAAAAUACUAGGAACUGACCAUGAUCUUCUAACCGAGGGGGAAAAAGAAGCCAGCAUAUCGAACCAUUGUUGUGGUUGUGACUAUUAGAAAUACCAAUCCUAUAUGACAAAUUUAACUUAUCUAGACUUAUAACAAGUAGUCCUAUAAUAAUUUUAUAAAAUUAAUAUCGAAUACAUAGGUACACUUAAAUAAAUUCUAUUAUCUAAGUAAUCAUAGUAUCAUAAUUUUUGUGUAUUGAUUAUUAAAACUACAAUCGAAUUGAUUAAUAUAAUAGUGUGAUCAAUGAAUUGGUUACUUGGCCGCUAAACAGUUCCUUGUCCAAACUAGGUCUUAUAACUAACAUAAUCUUUGAUUUGAAUUUUUGUUGUGAUAAAAGAUUUCAUACCUGAUAUAACUCAAGCAUGUGACAAGGUAGAGGUUCUACUGUUCAAGGGGCUGCAUGCAUGGUGUGAUAGCAAAAGGUUACUACAAUUUACUCUUUUCACUUCCUACUAGCGUUUACUAGAACGUAAACAAUGCAAUAUUAGGCUCUAAAUAGAGGAUAUGAGACCAAAACAGAUAAAAGCCACUAGAAACAAAAUUACUGCCCUCAUGUUGGCAAAGAGUACUACAUUAACAUAGCUCAAUAGCAAAAAGGGAUCAAUGAUUUCACUAAAGUGAGACAUGGUUCGCCUCCUAACGUGCCUCUAAUUGAAGGUAGGAUCUAACUCUAUCUCAGGCGCGGAUCAAAGAGGGAAUGGUCCGAUUGGGUCCUCCUUUACUCAAAGCAAGUUUAGCCUUGAAGGUGGCUUAGAGGCUUCAAUCUCCGGUCGAUUCAUGAUGCGUUCGGCCUCCUCGAUCUCAACCGCAGAUCCAGGCCAAGAUUGUAUAACAGAAACGAUCCUAGUUGAAUGGAUCCCAAAACAAGAUGUUGCACAUGGUGGAGGCGUGCAGUGGGGAGAUAGGUUCACCGACAGAAAGCGUGGUGGUUCAGUGACAGUUGAAAGUUGUCAAAGGGUUUUUUUGUAGGUAAGGGCAAGGAAUUCUACACUAUAGCUACUCCUAAGCUAAGUUACGUCUACUCCUAAUACAGGAAAGCGAUCAUCCUCCUCCCGGUACUCCUUCCUCCCCUCAUUAUACCCCUUGAACCAAAUCUACAGCAACUAUAGCUGAAAUGAUCCUCACAGUAUAGUCUUGUCCGUCCCCAACAUAUUUCUCUGGAUAUUGCGCUUACUAAGGAUCUUUCAGCGCACUACUGCUUGAUCCUCGAACUUCGAGCGGGUUCCCAAAGCCUUGCCGAAGUUAGGGUUCGCCAAAGCCUUCAGGCUUCGACAAGCUCCAAGUUGCGUUCGUUCACCGAAGCCUCCCUUUGACAACACGUCUUGAGUUGAUACAUCUAUACUUCAGCGUCCAACAAUAGGUAUCAACACCUCUAAAUUCGAAUUUAUGACAAUUAUAGUCGGAGUGACCCUCACAGUACAUUCUCAUCCUUUCCCGAUACUUCGUCCCGAUAUCACGGCCAUCCCAUAUUUUUCGGCACGUUGCAGCUCAAAUUUUGAAUUUCUUGCAGAUAUCUCAGCAUGCCUUUUCAAGGCUUGCCGAAAUUGGAACUCGCCGAAGCUCCAGGGUUUCAACGCGAUCCCCUCCUCUCACCAAAGGUGCGCUCUCUCGCCGAAACCCUUUCUUCAGCGGUUCCACGUGUCUUGCCUUGAUUUGCUCCCACUUCGAUGUCAAAAAAUAGGUGCCAACAAGCACCAAAGUUACAUAAACUUUUCAAUCAGACAGUCGUGAUUCUUCGACCUCCAUUGGAUCGUGUUCCUUUUUCUAUUUCCCACACAAACUUGUCUUUAAAGGUGGAAGGAAAGAUGUACUCUGUCAGUCAAACUGAUCCGAUAUACAGUAAACUCUUUCCAACCACCAGAAAAAUUUUAAGAGGUUUUCACUACUAUUUUCUGCUCAAGAAAAUAGCAGAUAAUUCUUUUUAUCGACCAAGAACUUAAGGGGAAAGUAACCACCAAAGAGAUGCAAAAUAAGAAGCAUUUAUUUAUGCUAUGCGAUAAAAAGCGUACUUGAGGACGCGAAGAUCUGAGAGGUUGUGCGGCAAACGGAGGAUCUUAUCAUACUCCUCCUGCGGCAUAGUGAGGUAGAUGCAGAAGAUCCCAAAGGCAAAGACGAAGAAAAUGGACGCGGCCGCCGCCGCCUCCCACCGGGAGAGCGGGAACCUCGCGUCGACCCUGGCGCCAGCCGGCUUCUUAGUGGUGGGAGAGUCCUCGUCUGUGGCGGCGGCGGCCAACGCGCUCUCCAAGUCCCGCCCAACAGCGAGCCGCGAGGCCGCCAUCCAGAAGAAAGGAGCGGUGUUGCGGCAGUGGGUCGCUACAGUAGUAUCCAACCCUCAUCACCAGGACUCCGCCUCAUGGGCUUCUCCGCCCAGAUCCCCCGAAUGAUCCCGCUAACCCUCCCCCCUCACCAAAGGUUCUUGAUCUGCACACAGAGAUCGAAACAGAUCGAUUUCGGAAUUAGGGUUUGCGCGCGAGAUUGGACAAACGAGGACGAGGAGGAGGAGCGGAGAUCGCCGGAGGUCCAGAGACGACGAGGGAACUGGGCGAAGUCGGAGGAGAGAGAAAGAGGGAAGAGAUUUACAAAUAAACUCAUUGACGUGUGGCAGUCAGAGAAAUGGCAUAUGCACGACGCUGUAUGUAUGGUAUACCUCUUCCGAAAAGGUCGUGUAAAAUGUCCCAAGAUUCAUUCGAGCGACUGUUAUUAUGACAUCAAAAUGGUACCAACUUAGGACCUACAUAGGGCUGGCUAAUGAGCGAGCCACCUCGUAUUCAACUCGUGUCGGGCUCGAUAUUCGGCUCGCUCGAGCUCGGCUCAUUUUUUUUUUCAAGCAAGCUUGAGCCUAAAUUUAGGCUCAAAAUUAAUUUCAAGCCGAGCUUGCGUAUUACUCGACUCGCUCGAAUUAAGCUCGAAAUAUAUAUAUAUAUAUAUAUAUAUAUAUAUAUAUUGUCUAUUAUACUAUUAAUAGUACCAACCACUUACUAUUAGGUUUGUGGCCUUUGGAUGAAUGGAUGUGUGGUUAGAAUGAUAUUGAUUCCCUAGGGUUGAGUGGGUGGUUAGUUGAAUAAUAUGAUCUAACGGCACAAAAUUCGAUAGCACCACUUAUUUAGUACUAUCAAUAAUAUAGUAGCCGGACUCUCUCUCUCUCUAUGUAUAUAGUUUGGCUACUAUACUGUCUAUACUAUUCAUAGUACUAAGUGCUUUGUACUAUUAAGUUUUCUGCCAUUAGAUCUGCCUUAUAUAUAUAGAGUCCGGCUAGUAAACUAUCGAUAGUACCAAGUGUUUGGUGCUAUCGAGUUUUCUUCUGUUAGAUCUAUCACUUUGGCCAUUUUCAUUCGUUAGAUCAUACUAUUCAACUUGUCAACCACUCAACUCUAAGGGGCUACUAUCAUCCUGACCGCACAUCCCUUCAUCUAAGGGCCAAAAACCUAAUAGCAAGCGAUUUGUACUAUUAAUAGUAUAGUAGUCUAAUUCUAUAGCUAUAGACUCAGGCUACUAUACUCUUAUAAGUAUAGAGAACCCUUUUAUACUCAUAAAUUUUCAGUCGUUGGAUGUGCGAUUAGAAUGAUAGUGGUCCCCUAAGAUUGAGUGGGUGGUUCGUUGAAUAGUAUUAUUUAACGGAUGAAAAUGAUCAAAAUGAUAGAUCUAACGGUCGAAAAUUUAUAAGUAUAAAGGGGUUUAUACUCAUAAAAUUAUAUAUAGUCGCCAAACUCUCUCUCUCUCUCUCUCUCUCUCUCUCUCUCUCUCUCUCUCUCUAUAUAUAUAUAUAUAUAUAUAUAUAUAUAUAUAUAUAGUUCGACUACUAUACUUUUAUGAGUAUUGGCUCCCUUAUACUCAUAAGUUUUCGGCCCUUAAAUUUAUUUUAUUGAUCAUUUCCACCCAUUAGAUCAUACUAUUUAAUCAACUACCCACUCAACCCUAGGGGACCACUAUCAUUUUAAGUAGGGACCACCACCAUCCUAAGCACACAUCUUAUCAAUCAAUAGUUAAAAAUUUAUUAUAAUUAUAAGGGGGUCUAUACUCAUAAGAGCAUAGUAGCCCCAGCCUAUAUAUAUAUAUAUAUAUAUAUAUAUAUAGUAGGUCUUGUGUGCUAUUAGGAGCACGGAGGCCUUCGUGCUCCUGAGCCGUUUUUGAUAAUGGAGCUUCCGAAUCGACGAUCGGUUUCGUUAGACUUGAUCUAACGUAUUUGAAAUAUCUAGAAAAUAUUUUUUGCGUUUUUUCGAUAUCAUUUAUCUAGCAAUCGAUCGAAAGGGUUCAAAAUCAACGGCUGAAAAUAAAAAUCUCACAAAAAGUGGUGAUAUAGCACUAAAAUUUUCGAUCAGAGGCAUUGAUCUUGCUGUAAAUAGUAUAAAGAAUUUUCUAUCAAAAUUUCAUAUGAUUUGAAUACUUCUACACCGUUAAACUUGUAAACGAUAUACAUCAACCAUUAAAAAUUGUUGAUUUUAAAUCCUUUCGAUCACUAGGUAAAUGAUAUCGAAAAACCGCAAAAUUUAUUUUCUAGAUACUUCAAAUAUGCUAGAUCAAGUCUAACGGAGCCGAUCGUCGAUUCAAAAACUGUAUCAUCGAAAAUGGCUUAGGAGCACAGAGGCCUCCAUGCUCCUAAUAGCACACAAGACCUACUCUAUAUAUAUAAUAUAUUUUAAUUAUAUAAAAUAAUAUGUAUUAUGUAUUUUAAUUAUAUGUAUAUAGAAUUUAAAUUAUUCGGCCCACAAAACCAAACUAGCAAAAUCCUACUCUAAUUGCUCUGUUUCUCUCUUUUUUACUUCCUCGCAAAGUCGCUUUUUCUUUUUUAGUGUUAUAAUAUCGUAUUUCAUGCAUUCAUUUUGUAUGUUAAACUAUUAGAUAUUUUUUAUAUCAAAUUUUAGAUAAUGUUUUAUAAAAAUUAAACUAUAGAUUGCACGAUGUAAAGAAUUUCAAGCAACUCGUUUAGGGCUCGAGCUCGCUCAACUCGAAGUUAGGCUCGCUCGAGCUCGGCUCGAAUUAAUUUUAAGCCAAGCUUGAGCCUAAAUUUAGGCUCGAAAUUAAUUUCAAGCCAAACUUGAGCUGAGGUAAGCUCGCUCAAGCUCGGCUCGUUUCCACCCCUAGACAUACAUUUGUUUCAAAAGCUUUUGAGGUAGGGGAUGAUAAUCUCAAUCCGUCUAAUUUUAAUAAAUAAAAUAAAAUUCAAAUAAAAAAAAUAUAGAAAUAUAUCCUCAUACUUUAUACUUUAUGAUGGGACUAUAGAAUUGACUCAUCAUGAUAUAUUGAAUUCAAUAUUAAAUACAAAAACAAACCAUAUAUUUAUUUUAUCGUACUUUCUUACCGCAUAUAAUGCAAUCUCUUCGUAAUUUCAAAUGAAAUCUUAAUGAAUGAACCAUUCCUGAUCUUAAUAUUUCGUUGGAAUGAUUUGCAUUUUGAUUUUUAUUUCUGAAAAGAUCGAAUCCUCAACUUUGUUUCCGAAAGAGACUCAUUAAAAUGCCUUCCUUUUUUCUUUCUCUAAUAAUUAUUUAAAUUCAAAUAAAAAUAUAAAUUUAAAUUGAAUUGUAAAUUUAAAUUUGAAUAAUGGAUUUAAUUUUCCAAUUUUAAUUUUUUAAAGUUUAAAUUUAAAUUCAAAUAUAAGUUUGGUAUUAAAAAUUAUUUUUAGUUUUAAUUUUUGGCUUUAAAUUGAAUUUGAAUAAAAAUUUAAAUUUAAAUUCAAAUUUUAAGUGUUCUAGACCUCAACAUAUGGGUUUACUUGUAGUAUGGGGUAAAUGGUCAGUGUGUCUAUAGAGUGUCGGACCGAACUGAAGGCAUUUUCACGCAAAAUAGAUGUGAAAACAUAUUCGAGACUGAAAAAUCUACUGAAAAUAAAGUUUCAAGAGAUUUUUGAUGCCCAGAAGGUGUUUAGGGUGCCCGAAAGUCCUAUGCAGGCUUGAUGUCAUUUCGAUUCCUAGUUUCGGACACCCGAAACACUGUAGCAACCUGGUAGCAAGUUGGUGACGAUCUGACCAUUGUGAUGACACAUCCACAGUGACUCACGGGAGUUUCGGGCGUUGGCGUCCAGGUGCCUGAAAGGUUUUGGACGGCGUUAUGACAAUAUCGAGCUUCAGUCUGGGCGUCUGAAAGAGUAUUCAGGUGGAUUUACAAUGGAUUCUUAUGCCCGAAAGUUAGGUUCCAAGCACCCAAAACCUCAUAUUUGAGCUAAGAUAUGAAAUUUUCAAUUUCCUGAGGGUUUGGUUGCAAUCAUACAUUGUGUAAAUAAGUGAAUUCUCGAAAUACGAGAGUUUGGACUUCAUUUAGAAUCGACUAAUUGUCGAUUGGGUGCGCUUCGGAAAGGCCGAAGGAGUUGAAAACCCAAAAAGUGCAUUGCAAUGGAUCCGCGAGAGCGAGUUGUGAAGAAAUCUGCACUUGGCAGAUUUUGCUCUCGGGGAUCGGUCCCUGGCGAGAGAGACCGGUCCCCGUAAGCUGAAAAUGCGGCAGGAAACUCUGCGCGCAAAGUUUGCUCUCGGGGUCCGAUCCCUCAAGUGGGGACCGGUCCCUCAAGUAGGGACCGGUCCUUGAAAGUUCGGUCCCUCAGGCGAGGACCGGUUCCCGUAAGCGUAUCCAGUGAAAAAGAAGGAAAUUUGGCUAAGUCCUGAUAGUUCUACUCUCGGGGACCGGUCCCUGGUGGCGACGGACCGGUCCCCAUAUGCGUAGAAGCUGGCAGAGAGCUUCUGCCCGAGAGAGGUGCUCUCGGGGACCGGUCCCUCUAGGGACAGACCGAUCCCCGAGCACGAAAAGUGCCCUGUCUGGGCAGGUCAGGAGAGGUAAAGUGGAAGGGCUAAACUUCAAUUGUGACUUGAGUUGGGGUAUAGAAGAGAAACCACUCUCUCUUUCUCUCAUUUCACACCCAAGCCCUAGCCCCCUCUCUCUCUAAACUCUCUUUCUCUCUCUCUAGAAGGUGAAGAAGGAGGAGGAUUUGGUGGAGGAGCAAGCUAGGAAAAGGAUCCUUGGCAUCUUCUUCUUCCUCUCCACCAUUGGAGCUUGCUAUUGAGGUAAGCUCAUGAGAGCUUUCAUGGUAGAUCCUUCUAGAUGGGUCUUUAUCUUCUAGAAUUGGUUUCAUUGGAUCUUUUUGAUGCCAAAGAGAAGCUUUAUGCUUGAACCUUGAAGCUAGAAGGGGAUUUUUGCAUUGGGCAAACCUAGAGCUCUAAAAUUGGAGUGUUUGGAGCAGGAAAGUUUUGAUCUAAAUUGAUCAUAUAUUAACCUAAUUGCUAAGUGUCUAAACGCGUGGGAAGCGACGGAUUGAGUAUUCGUCGAGCGGGGCGAAGAUAUAGCCGAAACAAGCAUUCGGGGCUUCGUGUUGGCCCGAAGAGCAAGAGCGGCGAUCAAGGAUCGCGAGAUCGAGUACCCAGCAUCACGACAUUACCUAAGAGGUGGGGUGUCACGCCCCACGCCCCGCCUAUUUAGUCGGGUUCAAGUACGUCGACAGACCGCCAAACGGACAGAGUUUUCCCUGUACGUCCUAGGCGUCGCAAUCAAUACAAUUCACGAUGUUCCAACCAGGAACAGAAAUCAAGCAUAGAUUGCAUAAGGAAGUAUCAAAAACAUAAACAACUAAGUUAUUACAAGCAUUCAUCAACUUAUAUUUUUACAUCACAGUUUCUUUUACAUUCAACUUCCAAAUUACAAUCUAAUUAUUACAAAUUUUGAUACAUUCUUGUUCUUUCCUUUCCCUAUACCCCUAGGCUAUGCCGAUACGGGGUAUUGCUAUCUCUGGUCUCUGUGGUAGGGGGCUAUCUAUGGAGCUACGCCCUUGCCUUGUGCCACUGCGCCGCUCACGUGUGUACCUGUAACAACCCAAAACGACGUGGGAUAAGAACCAACUCCAUGGUUCCCAGUGGGUACGGCCACCCAAGGGAGGAGCUCGACCAACAGGUCUAAAGGAGGCAAACACAUGUUAGUCCAAUAAGCAGAUAGAUAUAUAUAUUUAUCUUAAAUAUGCAAUUAACAUUACCAUGCCUUGCCUCACAACUAUAACGAUGCCAUGCUAUAUGCAACAUGAAUAUAUAUGCAACAACUAGUAGAUCUAUUGAUUCUACAUUCAAUCUUGCUAACUUUAGUUCAUAUCAUCCAACUCUAAGGUUUCUAUUACCUUAGAUUUAUCAUAUUUACCACUAGCCCUCAAGGUUCUAUCUACCUUAUUCCAGCUAGCCACCCGACUCGGCCUCGAGUCAAUCAACUGCGGAUAAUCCGCGCUCUGCCCGGCUCAAGGUGAAGGAACUCUCGCAUGCACCUAAGCCUGCAAGCUAAGAACCACAUCGCCCAACGGUGCGCCCGAAGGUCCGUGCACCGUGGUCAGGGAUCCCCUGGUGGGAGAGGAAUAUGCUGCAUACACUCGCAGCCGAGAUCCCCGAUAGGGAGAGAAACAAGCCACAUACACCUUAGUGCUCUCUGUUCUUGCUUAAUCACAAUCCUCGAAGUUCUUCCGGUGGGAGACGAACAUGCCACAUACACCCGCGGCCGAGAACUGUCGAGCUCAUAUGCUGCACUAGCAGCCGCUCCACUCGCAGCCGGGAUUCUGGAAUCCACUUUACAUAUCUCAAGGAUUGGUCUCAAACCCUAUAUUAUCGACCUAACCAGGUCCAAUGCACUUUGUACCCUAGGUCCAACUGACUCUAGAUUUAAUACCUCAAUCACAUAACCUAGGUUCACUUUAACUCUAGGUCUAGUUCACAACCUAUGUUCAUGACACUAGGUUAAUGCCACACACCUAGGUUUAGUUAACUCUAGAUUCAUUCUCAACCUACGUUCUUGACACUAGGUUCAAUACAACCUAUGUUUACUAACACUAGGUUCAAUGUCAUCUAUGUCCGACCUAUGUUUAUUAACACUAGGUUAAUGCCACUCGAUCUACUUGACAACCUAUUUAUCAUAUCGAGUCCACAUGCACAUGCAUCUUAUCUAACAUGCUCACAUAACGUUACAUGCACCUAGCAUACAUCCCAAUGCACACAUACAUAUCACUUGCAUCUACUUACUAGCAUGUACUUUUCGAUGCAUUAUUAUGCAAUUAUCACUAGCAUGUAUUCUACCCACUAGCAUACAUUUUGUCACGCCCCGGGACCCAGCGGGAGCCCGCCCGGCGCGUGCCCAGACCCGCCAUAUGUCUACAACAUAUAAGGCGUCUAAAAACAACAAUAAUAACAGCAAUAAUAAAAGACAUCUAGAAGUAUCAGAGCAUAAUAAAUGUCUAAAUGCUACCACAAGGGAUAAGGAUAAAACAGUAAAUCCACUAAAUAAAACAUAGAGUAAGAACAAUAGGAAAUCCCAAAUACAAGAGCUAUAAGUAGGUACAUAGGUGGUCUCUAUACAUGGAUACAAAAUCUCUCACUCUCUCUCAACUACAAAAAGAAAGAGUAAACCACCUAGGCAAAGUACCGCUCCUCGCUAGCUAGCUAAGCGAUCCCCUUGCCGCGAUCCCGUGCCUCCGCCGGUGCCGAAGGCUCUGAAAAGUAAACCAACAAAACGGGGGCAUGAGAACUAUUAAAAAUAGUGCCAUGGGCAAUUACUGACUUAGUGAAUGCACCACAAAGGCCCAGCAGCUACAGAAGAGUUAGUGACCAAAAUGAGAAAAGCGAAAGGUAAGUAAAAUGUAAACUUACUAGCUAGCAAUUAAAUCUCUACUUGCCUAAAUAGCAUAAGUUACGAACAGCCAUUCAUGAAGUUAACAGUCUCCAACUAUCAUAAUGUCCACAAUCGAAAUAGUAAAAGUUCCGUUGUUUUACUACUUCUAGUUCAAUGUCAAAUAAUACUCUAAGGUCAUUCAUACUAUCCACAUGUCGUAACGGAAUAUAAGUCCAAUCUGGAAAGACUACCCACGCCGAAGGCUGUUCUAUGGCCCUGAGACCACCCGAGCUGUCUGGGCCGGUGCCCGGAGCCUAAAUGGCCUCCGUGUAGUCAUCAUCCGCUAAAAUGCUAGGAAUGAGCCUGGCCCACGUCAAUGCCACUUCGGCGUCCCAUUCCCGCACGGGCGAAUAUGAUCUGGCAUGGCCCAUCUCCGGAGUCCGGCUUGUAGGAGCGACCCUCACAAGCAAGUGCGAAGAGCACACCCUGGCAAAGUAGUCAAGACGAUCAGUCGCAAGUAUCUAAUCCUCAAUGUCGCAAUAACAUGGAUAUAUAGUAAAAUGUCCUCGUGGCCAAGUCACUAUUUCAUCAUAUCUCAAAUAUGGAAUAUAGUUGAUGUCAUGUGCCCUAUUCUCAAGUCUCUAGUUGCAGUUAAGUAAUUCCUAGUCCAAGUUCCCUUCUUUAUGACACUAUGGCUCAUUUUGUCCCAACAAUGAUACUAAUUUCAGAGAACUUACGAAUUCAGUCAACGACCGAAGGCAUGAUAACUUGAUUUCUAAUCUCAUAGAGAUAUUUGUGGCAUGCAUAUUAACAAGCACAUUGUCUCUUCUUCUCUCAGCAUAUAGAUAAUAUUUUCUUCGAUGCACAACAAAUGCAUUGGCUAAGCAUCAUAAACUCUCAUAAAUGCUACUAAGCAUGAGAUUAAGGAGCAUGAAAGCAUUUAACCACUUAGGAGAUAUUUCCUCGCAAUUUUCAAGGAAGCCAAACCAUCGAUGGCAACGUAAACUCCUCGUGCGCCUCCAGCACGAGGGUGCCUCUAGUCUCCUAGUACCAGAGGUACAAGAACAUUGUCCAUACGGGCCAAACAGAACAAAAACAUAGCUCAAUACAUUUAGAUAAUUCAAUCAUAGGUGAGGAAAACUCACCUCUAUGCAAAAAUCUCCUCUAAGCUCCAAAAUGAAGCUAGGCUCAUCACAAUCCAACCCAAAGGAGCCUCUAACAAUCAUCUAGCUUCAAAAGCCCUAGAUUCAAAUGCCCAAAAUAAAACUAAAUAUCAGCAAUCUUAGGUUUCAAACUCAAUGAAAUUCCAAUAAAACUCAAAUCUAGAGAAGAUAGUAUAAUGCUUACCUCUUAGAAGCUUUAAAUCAAGCUCUAAAUCUUUACAUCCAAGAUCUACCUCACACUUAGCUCCAAAUCCGCUUCCUAGCAUCCAUCAAUGUGGGAGAAGCAGUAAAGAGGAAAGAAAGGAUUAACUCUAAAAUCUAGCUUACGAGGGAGAUUAAAACCAAAUGAGAAUCAAAGAGAAGCUCCUCCUUACUUGCUCCCUUGCAGUGGCAAGCUUCAAAGAAGAGCCUAGGGGCCGUGUGCUGUUAUACGUAUUGCUACAAAACGGCACAAGAACCCCUGCACGUUUCAUUCUGACAAAUCUGACUCCUUGUACCGGUACACGGGCUCUUGUACCGGUACAAGGCCGACGAAAUUGCAAACCCGAGGCUCGGGUCGCGCGGUCUGCGGCUCUGUACCGGUACAAGCCCGAUGGCUGUACCGGUACAACCAUCAACCCUUGUACCGGUACAAGGCCAGUCUUGUUCCGGUACAAGCCCUGCUGCAGGCUACCCGAGAGCUGUCCAAUGAAUCCAAUUUUUGGAUUUUGGUACCAAGCUUCAAACCAACAUCCUCGGGGUGCGUGCCAGGGGUCGGAACACUAUCAACGACCCUCCAGAAACUGUGGAGAGGCUCCACACACCAAUCAAACACUCGAAUCUUGCAAUUUGCUAAGAUCCAGUGUAUUACACAUUUACAUAAUGCUAACAUGCCCGUAUGCACAUACAUAUGCAUCAACAAGAAUCCAUAUUCCACUUUGACAUGUGGGGGGACCUAGUCGCUUUGGUAAGCACAACCCACCUUAACUUACUCUCCGAUUGCUCGUAGUCACUUGCAAUCGGCCUCCCGCGGCACCCGUGAUCCGGUUCGGCCCAAACUCUCGUGCAACUACCCAAACGGCCACCAAUCCACGAUCCGAAAAUUAAAGGUCUACGUUUAGUUGCCACGGGCCCAUGAUUCCGAUUUCAUGAUUUUUGGACGUCGCCUCGGCCCUCCAGGCAGAAACGAAGCCAAAAACGUCGUUUCUUCAAUAACUUCGCGUAGGCUCAACGAAUCACCAAACCGACUUCGCCAACGCGUUAAAAUACCUAGCAAUUAGGUUUACAUCGGUCCAAUUUAGAUCAAACCCCUACAUUUACAAAACUAGCAUUUCUAACCCUAGCAUGAAAACAACCCCAAAUAAUUUAAAAUUAAAUAGAGCGACAUGCUAGAAACACUUUAGAGACCAUUAGAACACUAAACAUCAAGGAUUAAACCAAAUCCUAGAAGCUUACCAAAUUGUGAACGCCGAGUCGAAAGCACGCCGCGCAACCGGGUGCACGAAGACUCGAACCGACGCUUCGCACGCAUUCACAAGCACGCUCUCGGCCAACACCGCAAGUUUGAGGGAGAGAUCUAGAGAGAUGAGAGAGAUAUUUAGAGAGAGAAAGGAGAGUUUCUCUCUCUCCCUCCAUGCAUGCGUGUGAUGCUUGCUGGUGGUGAUGCUCGGUUGAAGGAGAAAAGAAGCGAAUAGCUUCUUUUAUAAUAAACCUCCAAAAACACUAUUCACUUUAGUUUGUAGCUCAGGUACAGAUAUUUUUCGCAUGCCCUUCUGAAUGUCCGUUUGAGCUCAAACUUGCCAGUCAGGCUCGGUUUUACUUAACUUAACGAAAAAAAUUUUAAUCUUUCAGUUUCGACCACAUUUGGUCACCGAAAGCUCUACCGAACUGUAAUCUCUAGCAGAUAGUAGUCGGAUUUUAUUUUUCACCUUUCCGGUGUCAAAAUGAGAUGAAACUUUAAAUCUAGCCUCAUAAAAAUAAUUCUGACAUAUUAUCCAGUUUUCAUAAUUUUCUGACACUGUGCAUUUUCUGCUAAAAUAUCAGCCCCAUCACUCUCAUAAAAUUCUAAAUCUUCUGUUUUCGUUUCGAUUUCAGCACAAGUUAUUUCUAACUUAUAUUUUACUUCUCUAAAUCUAAAAAAAAUAGUAUCUCACACUAUUUUUAUUUAUUUUUACUUUUAUAUCAAAAUUUGGUAUGUUACAUUCUCCAUCCCUUAAAAAGAAUUUCGUCCGCGAAAUUCAAACCACGCCUCAAUUCAGCUCCUCGAGCAAUUGAGGGUACCGACUCAUUCUCCCACUCCAGAGCGGCUUCACACUAUUGUGGUUCCAGAAGCAGCUCAUACUGAAGGACGUUGGUUUAAUCCUAAACACAUUUGCAAAGUGUGAUACAAAAGUGCAUCACGGGUCUUGCAAGUCAUAGUGGCAGCGCAAGUUGGUACUCGAUGACUCUACGCGCUCCAACCCCACUCGCCACUCAGUACACAAAGGACUCUUCUUUGCAUUGACCUUCCCUUCAGGGAACACAUCCCAAUUCGAUCACCAACAUUGCUUAGAAGCAAUAUCACCGGUGCAUCGUUCCAUCGUGAGUGCUUCAAUUCCGCACUAACCUUUAGUUCUAACGUGAGAUGGCCCACCUCGGCGCAUCCCAAUUCAUUGUGGAUUGUUUAACCAAGUCGGCACAUUUCGUACCGAUCCACACUACAUGGUCAGGUGACAAGUUAGCGCAGGUGUAUCUCAAUGAGAUUGUGAGGUUACACGGGGUUCCAAGGUCGAUCGUGUCGGAUCGAGACCCCCGUUUUACUUCGCAUUUUUGGAAAAACCUGCAGGAAGCGCUCGGCACACGCCUCGAUUUCAGCACCGCAUUCCAUCCUCAAAUUGAUGGACAAUCAGAGAGAACCAUUCAGAUCUUGGAGGAUAUGCUGCAGGCGUGUGUGAUCGACUACAAGGGUAGUUGGGCAAGUCAUUUACCGAUGGCCGAGUUCGCCUACAACAACAGUUACGAGGCGAGUAUAGAGAUGGCACCGUUUGAGGCUCUUUAUGGGCGAAAGUGUCGGUCUUCUAUACAUUGGAGUGACGUAGGUGAACGUGCGGCAUUGGGCCCUGAUGUGUUGCGGGAGGCGGAAGAGAAGGUCCGUCUCGCUCGCGAGAAGUUGCUCGCGGCGCAAUCUAGACAAAAGAGCUACUCGGAUAAGCACCGUAGAGAUUUGGAGUUCGCGGUGGGUAACCGCGUCUUCUUUAAGGUUUCGCCUAUGAGAGGCGUGAAGCGCUUUGGAGUGCGGGGGAAGUUGAGUCCCCGCUAUAUUGGACCUUUCGAAGUGUUGGAACAUAUUACAUUGGUAGCAUACCGACUCGCAUUACCGCCGAAGCUUGCGGAUGUACAUAAUGUGUUCCACGUCUCCAACCUUCACAAAUAUGUCCACGACCCCGAGCAUGUUAUGUAUUAUGAACCGCCGAAUCUAUAAGAGGACUUGAGCUAUGAGGAGUUCCCGGCGAUGAUCAUUGCUCGAGAGGUGCGAAAAUUGAGAAAUCGUGAGAUUCCCUACGUGAAGAUUUGUUGGACCAAUCACAGUGAUCGUGAGGCCACGUGGGAACUCGAGGAGGUGAUUAAAGGUGCAUUAUCCCCAUCUCUUUGAAGAAGCGAGUUGAGGUAUGAAUUAUUGAAGUUAUUGAAUUCGUUUCGAGGACGAAACUCCUUUAUAGGAGGGGAGGAUGUAAGGAAGUGAAUUCUCGAAAUACGAGAGUUGGAUUUCGCUCAAAGUCGACAAAUUGUCGAGUGGGAGUGCUUCGGAAAAGCCGAAGAAGUCAAAAGCACCAAAAGUGCAUUAGAGUUGGAUCUCGGAGAGCGAAUUGAUGAAAAUCUACAUCUGGCAGAUUUUGCUCUCGGGGACCGGUCUCUGGUGGGAGAGACCGGCCCCCGUAAGUAUUGUGGGCGGCAGAGAAGCUCUGCACGCAAGUAUUGUUCUCGAGGUCCGGUCCCUAAAGAGGGGACCGGUCCUUGAAGGUCCGGUCCCUCAGGUGAGGACCGGUCCCUGUACGCGUAGCCAGCGGGAAGAAGAGAAAAUCGGCUAAGUCCUGAGAGUUCAGCUCUCGAGGACAGGUCCCUGGAGGGAGAGACCGGUCCCCGUGCGCGUGAAAGGGUUGGCCCGAGGGCUCUACAUGUGAGGCAGCUCUCGGGGACCGGUCCUCCCGUAGAGGGAUCGGUCCCCGCACACGAAAUCUACCUAGUCCGGGCAGUGCAUAAGAGGCAAAGUGGAGGGGGCUAAAUGCUAUUAUAGCAUGAGAGGGGUUAAGUGGGCAUUUCCCCUCUCUCUUUCUCUCAUUUCCCUCCAAUAUACACACAUCUCUUUCUCUCUCUAGGAAGAAAAGAAGGAGAAGAAGGAAAAGAAGAAGAAGAAGAAGAAGAAGAAGAAGAAGGAAAGGAAAAGGAAGAAGGAGAAGAAGAUCAAGAUGAGGGUUUCCAUCAUCUUCUCCAUCUCCUUCUUUGCUUGGGCUAGCUAAUAGAGGUAAGCAUCUACACCUUCUCAUGGUAGAAGUGUUAGGGUUGGCUUUGAUCUCUUAGAACCUAGCUAGAUGGACUCUAGUGGAUCUCUAGAAGUGGAUGAACUCAUUGAUUGCAUGAUUAAAUGCUAGAAUAGAGCUAUUGCAAUAUUGGGGCUUCUAGGGCAUUCAAAAGAGGGGUUUUUCUUGUGAGGGGUUUUGAUCUCAAUUGACUCUUCUUUAAUCUAAUUGUUAGGUCCCCGAACGCGUUCGUGCACUCGAUUUGAGCAUUCGUCGAGGCUACGAAGAGAUAUUGGCGAAAGACCCAUUUUUGGCUUCGUUUUCGCUUGGAACGCCGAGGAAACAUCUAAAAAUCACAAAAUCGGAACCCUAGCCUUUUGGUAGUAUAAGAAGGUGGGGGGUGUCCAUCUCAAAGCAACCGGGCUUCUUUUUAUGUCUAAGUUCUUUAUAUUGAUCAUAUAUUGAUAUUAUGCAUUAUAGAAUUAGUAGAUAGUUACAAUUCUAACUCCUUGCAUGCUUUCUUAGCAGUGUAGCAUUGAGGGCUUGACACAUGGACUAGGGACGCAUGAGGAUUGAGUCUUGUGACAUGGAAUCCUAUAGUGGCGCAAUGAAAUGAACUUGGACAUGUAUAGCCUAGAUGAGUAGCAUUGAACUAGUGUAGUAGAAACACUAAACAUGAAUGAGUGGCAUGUCAACUAGUUAGAAAACUUACUACAAAUGAUCGAACGAGUGGCAUCGAGUCUAGUGUAGUAAACAUGACAUGAACUUAGGGAUGGUAGAAGUCCUGUCAUUUGAUUAUGCAUCGUGAUUGUGCAGCAGAGGCAAUAUGACCCUAGUAGAUUGUGAGGAUUGGAUCAUACUCACUAGUCUGUUUUGCUUGUCGGUGGUUACUCCACUGAAGCAGUGGUGUAACACACUGGACCUUUGCAGUGGUGUAACACACUGGACCUUUGCAAAUUUCGAGGUUCGAGUGUUUGGGUUGAGUUAUGAGUUUUUUCAGAUUUUCUGGUGGGUCGUUGACAGUGUUCCGACCUAUGGCUCGUAUCCCUAGAAUUGAGGUUUGAAGCUUUGCACCAAAACUCGAAAAGUCAGAUUUUUGGUCAGCUCUCAGGUAGCCUUCAGCAGGCUGUGUACCAGUACAGGGUUGAUGGCUGUACCGGUACAGGGUUGAUGGCUGUACCGGUACGUGGGCCCGUGUACCGGUACACUGCGGCAGAUCUGAAUGGUCGAACUGCAGGGGUGUUUUUGCGAUUGUGCUUUCUAUAACACCACCCAUGCCCCUUAGAGCCUCCCCUGAGCUGAAACCAGUGAAGAGCAAGGUAGGGCUCCUCUCCUCCUCUCCUCUUUGGUUUAUUCUUCCCUUUUUACUUGGGAUUUAAGGUUUGAUUUCCUCUUUUGCUCCUUGGUGCUUGUAAUAUACCGAAAAUUCGGAAGAUAAAUAUCGAACUUUAGUCAAAUUGACCAAAGUGCGAGGACGGUACACUUCGGAAAGUCCGAAGAUGUUAAAAUGAGUAAAAGUGAGUUAAAGAAGGUUUUCGAGAGCUAGAGAGUUAAAUUCUGCAAAACUGUAGAUUUUCAGCUCUCGGGGACCGGUCNUUGAUGGUUUUUUUGAUAUGAAACCCUAGAAUGAGGUUUUAGGGUUGAUUUUGGGCAUUUUGGAUCUAGGGCUUUUCGAGCUUAAUCUCUUGGAUUAGACCUUCCUCUAGGUUAGAUUGGAAGGGUUCUAGCCCUCUUUUGGAGCUUAAGAAGAGAUUUCUUCAUUGAAGGUGAGUUUUGGCCCUUUUCUUGAGACGGUUAAAGAUCGAGCCAGGGAUUGUUCGUAACGUUCGUUUCUCUCUUCUUUCCUUACCUUUAGGGUGCUAGAGGACUUGGGGACAACUUCGUUUGAGCUUACGAAGGGUUUCGAGAUGCUUCGGUGGGUUUGACCUAGCCGCACAAUGAGAAAUUCUCAUUUGUGAUGAUUUGAGUAUCGUAAAAUAGAAAAUAAUGCAUAUUCAUGUUAAAUGUAUUUAUUAUGAAUUUUAGAAUGCUUAAAAUGCCUAUGUUACAUAUAAUGCAUUUUGGACCUCUAUGUAGUGGAGAGUUGCAUGUGGGGCUUAUGGUUGCAUUUAGCAUUCCGUGUGGGAUUUGGGACCAUGUUUCCUAUAGUAGAAAUGACAUAUGUAAGUACCCUUGAACUUAAAUUCUCAUUGGACAUAAAAACUACUACAAUGCCAUAAAGAGGCAUCAGACAAGAUUGACAUGUGAAAUUGUGAACUAAUGUCAUAAAACAGCAUUGAGCUCGGGUUAUGUGUGAACCUAGUGGAUAGAGCCAUUGAGAGAUUUGGAAAUUGGAACAUGCUUGAAUAUAGAAUUGUCUUAGUGUCAUAAGGAGGCACUAGACUUAGUGAAUGUUGGAACUUCACAUUGAGACAUUGAACUAGAUCUUCGAGAUGCUAGUGACUUUUACCAUGUUAGAGACAUGAUGAUUGGACUUUUGAGACGUUGACUACGCUUCCUUGCCAUUUGUGCUCAUUCGCACAUGCUUGUGAGGGUCGCUCCCUACAAGCCGGCACUCCGGAGUUGGCCUACGCGAUUUAUGCUUGCUCGUGCGGUAUCGAAAAACCUACGGGGUCGGGAGGGAUAGACUCAUUCCUAUAGUGGAAAUACUGGAGCUACCACCGACACUUAGGUGGCACAAGCUGGACUAUAUUUAUGCAAGUCCUAGAACAUGAUUAAACAAUGACAUUGAACCGGAAAAUGACAAUCACUACUAAAUAGGCUUAGUAGUUUGAUUACUUCGACAUGCUUAUAGCAUAGUGUUGGGACAUGUAGUAUACGUGAUAGUCUUAUUUGUUGCAUCAUAGUAUACUUGUGUCACGCCCCGCCCCGAAACCUCUUGUGUGAUAAUCAUCAUCGGGAACUCUUCAUAGCUCAAGUCCUCUUGAAGCUGCGGUGGCUCAUAUAGCAUUGCGUGCUCAGGGUCGUGAAUAUACUUGGGGAGAUUGGAGACAUGGAACACAUUGUGUACAUCCGCGAGCUUCGGCGGCAAAGCGAGUCGAUAAGCCACCAUGCCAACUCGCUCCAAUAUUUCAUAGGGUCCAAUGUAUCGAGGACUCAACUUUUCCCGCACUCCAAACCGCUUUACACCCCGCAUCGGUGAAACCUUCAAGAACAUGCAUAGCUUUGCUGUCUGCAUAUCUCGUUGGCGCCUAUCUCGUUGGCGCCUAUCUGCAUAGCUUUGCUGUCUCGACUGCGCCGUGAGCAAUCUCUUGCGAGCAAGGCGGACUUUCUCUUCCGCUUCUCGCAGAACAUCAGGGCCGAACUCUGUACGCUCACCCACAUCGCUUCAGUGUAUAGGAGACCGACACGUCCGCCCAUAGAGAGCCUCGAACGGUGCCAUCUCCACACUAGCAUGAUAACUGUUGUUGUAGGCAAACUCGGCCAUAGGUAGGUGAUCACACCAACUUCCCUUAUAGUCGAUGACACAUGCUCGCAACAUGUCCUCUAGAGUUUGAAUGGUUCUCUCUGUUUGCCCAUCGGUCUGAGGAUGAAAUGCGGUGCUAAAGUCGAGCCGUGUGCCAAGGGCUUCCUGCAGGCUCUUCCAGAAGUGUGAAGUGAACCGGGGGUCACGAUCCGACACGAUCGAUUUCGGCACCCCAUGCAGUCUCACUAUCUCGUCGAGGUAUACCUGCGCUAACUUGUCACCCGACCAUGUGGUGUGGAUCGGCAAGAAGUGAGCCGACUUCAUCAGUCGGUCCACAAUUACCCAAAUUGCAUCGUGGCCUCCCGUUGAGCAAGGCAAGCCGACCACAAAGUCCAUCGAUAUAUCCUCCCACUUCCAAACGGGGAUUGGUAGGCUUUGAAGCUUUCCCGCUGGAAAUCGACGCUCUGCUUUCACUUGUUGGCAUGUUAAGCACUUCGCCACAAAGCGUCCAAUAUCACUCUUCAUUCCCGGCCACCAGUAGUGCAUUUUUAGUCCUUGAUACAUCUUGGUGCCGCCCGAGUGAUCGGCAUAUGGAGACCGAUGCGCUUCUUGUAGAAUUAGCUCGCGAAGUUCUCCAUCUUUUGGCACACACCAUCGGUUUCGAAACCGAAGUGUACCACUGGCGUCUGUACUGAAAUCUCCGCCUCGACCAUCCUCGAUGUCUCGCCGUACCUUUUGGAGUUCUGGGUUUGCGGAUUGCAGAUCUUUGAUCCUUUCCAACAAGGUCGGUUGAAUAACGAGAGCCAUCAACUGGGCCGGAACCUCGGGAGCGACCACCUCAAGGUUCAUCCGCUCCAUGUCUAACCACAAAGGUGAUUGAUUUGUAACCCACAUCGAGAGGUUCUCCGCCGACUUUCUGCUCAAUGCAUCAGCGACCACAUUGGCUUUCCCGAGGUGGUAGAGGAUAUCGACGUCAUAGUCCUUUAACAAUUCUAACCACCGCCGCUGUCGCAUAUUGAGUUUCUUCUGUGUGAACAGAUAUUUCAAACUCUUGUGGUCUGUGUAAAUCUCACAAUGGGCACCAUACAAGUAGUGCCGCCACAGCUUCAAGGCGAAGAUUACCGCUGCUAGCUCCAAAUCGUGGAUGGGGUAGUUCUUCUCAUAGCUCUUCAGCUGACGGGAUGCAUAAGCAAUCAUUUUCCCGUUUUGCAUCAAAACACACCCCAGUCCUAGAUAGGAGGCGUCGCUGUAGACUACGAAGUCUUCGCCUUGUACCAGUAGAGCGAGCACCGGAGUCGAAGUUAAUUUUUGCUUCAACUCUUUAAAACUCCGGUCGCACUCUUCGCUCCACACGAACCUAGUGCCCUUCUGAGUCAGACGGGUAAGUGGAAUUACUAUCUUAGAAAAGCCUUCCACAAAUCGCCUAUAAUAGCCUGCCAAGCCCACGAAGCUUCGAACCUCCGUGACAUUCGUCGGGCGCGGCCAAUCCUUGAUUGCCUCAACUUUCCUCGGGUCUACAGAGACUCCACCUGCAGAAAUCACAUGCCCUAGAAAUGCGACUUCUCGGAGCCAGAAGUCACACUUCUUUAACCUAGCAUACAACUUCUCCUCCCGAAGCGUUUGAAGCACUAUCCUCAAAUGCUCGGCAUGUUCCUCGUCACUACGAGAAUAGACCAAUAUGUCGUUUAUGAAAACCACGACAAAUCAAUCCAAAAACUUCCUGAAGAGACGGUUUAUCAAGUCCAUAAAUGCCGCUGGAGCGUUCGUGAGUCCAAAUGGCAUGACCGUGAAUUCAUAGUGCCCGUAUCGCGUACGAAACACAAUUUUCUGCACAUCCUCCGGCUUGAUCUUCAACCGGUGAUAGCCGUACUGUAAGUCUAUCUUCGAGUACACACACGACCCCUACAACUGAUCGAACAAGUCAUCGAUUCGGGGUAGUGGGUACUUGUUCUUGAUCGUGACUCUGUUCAACUCUCGAUAAUCCACGCAGAGUCGAAACGAUCCGUCAUACUUCUGUACAAACAACACCGGGGCUCCCCACGGUGAUACACUUGGCCGGAUAAAUUGCUUGUCGAGGAGGUUUUGCAAUUGACUCCUCAACUCUUUCAGUUCCGCCGGCGCCAUUCGGUACGGAGCCUUCGAGAUCGGUGCGGUAUCGGAAACCAAGUCUAUGACGAACUCGAUCUCCCGAUCCGGUGGUAUCCCCGGUAAUUCCGCGGGAAAUACAUCCGGGAACUCUCACACCACCGAUAACUCCUCUAAUGUUGGAGUUACUCGUUCCACUUCCACAACAGUCGCUAAGAAUGCCGUGCAACAGCUGUCAACCAACUUCCUUGCUCUCGUCGCCGACACCUUCGCGACGAAGCACGAGCUUUGACAAGCCUGAUAUGUGAACUCCUUUUGUCCUGGCUCACGAAAUGUGAUUACUCUGCUCUUGCAGUCGAUCGUUGCAUAAUAUUUCGAGAGCCAGUCCAUGCCCAAAAUGAUGUCAUAAGCCUCGAGCUUCUUGAGUUCUAGCGUCCGAAUAGGCAUUAUCCAGUCACCCAUUUGUACUGGACACGACGCACACUCCGAGUAAGUGUUAAACGUCGACCCAGGGCCUCAACUCGCCACUUGUCACUCGCCUCUAUGAGUAUGCCAUGCAUGCGUGCGAAUGAUCCACUUAUGAACGAAUGUGUGGCUCCUAUAUCAAAUAAAGCCCUGGAGCGAACUCCGUUAAUUAAAACCAUACCUACUACAAGGCGAUGCUCCUCCGCCUCCGCAGGCUCCUCGGUUUGAACCUGAGCGGCGAAUACCCGACCGCUCGGAGCUGAUCGCGUCACCUCAGGUUGACGCGGCAUCACCGCGCGUCCCGUCGACGCGGCCGUCGAUGGAGCUCCUCCAUAGUGAGCCGGAAUCGCCGUCGUCGAUGCAAUCGAUGGGGCAGGUGAGGCUCCUCCUCCCGAGCAGUCCCGAAUGAAGUGCCCCGGUUGCCCACACUUGUAGCACUUGCCUCGGCCCUGCUCACAUCGCGAGACUGGGUGGUCUUCGCCGCAUAUGAUGCAUCGCCGCGCUCCACCGCCCCUUGGCUGAGUCCGUGGAUACUUCGGGGGCUUCUUGGAACGUGUUUGUCCCCCCGAACCGCCGCCGCCUUGGCGUUUCUUGCCCUUGUCCUUGGACUCGGCUAGCAUCUCACGCUUCUCCCGGACAUGGGCGUCUCCGUGCUCUGCCCAAAGUGCUCGGUCGAAGACCUCUGCAAAGGUCGUGAGCUUGAGUAUCUGCACGGCCUUAUAAAUCCCCGGCCGAAGUCCUCGCAAGAACCAAUCGGCCCGGUCCCGGUCAUCCUUCACUACGUCCGGAACACAAUCAAUGAUGUGGGAGAACUCUUGUUCAUAUUCCGCCACUGAGCGGUCCCCUUGCUCCAACUUGCGGAACUUCUCCUUGAGCUUCCGCUUUAGUGUAUCGGGGAAGUAGUUGGCGAACAUCUCCCGCUUGAAUUCCUCCCACAGCAUCGGCGGGAGACUGGAAGACCGAUCUCGCUUCACGCGCUUCCACUAUACCUUUGCCGCUUUCUCCAAACAGUGGGUGGCAAGGUACACCUUAUCCCUCUCCAAGGUACGCAAGUCCUCAAAGAGAGUCUCCAUCGAAUCGAUCCAAGACUCGACCAUCGCCGGCUCCACCUUCUCGCACUCAAAGGUAGGCGCAUGGAACUUGUUGAACUUAAUAAGAGCCACCAAUGCGCGCUCUCCUUCCACAUCUUCGACGGUCACGUCGGGUGUAGCCGAUCCCGACGUCGCCUGUGGUACGAUCGCUGGCGGUGGGCGUGCCGUCACCGGAACCGCCGCUAUACCCUCACCCUCUGCCGCUCCGGGUACAUGAGUCGAGGGUGCGGGUGGACCACCGCCCUCGUUCACCGUCGCAGUCGCUGCCGCAACCUGCUGCUCCAAAAGAUCCUGAAGUCGCUCGAAUCGGGUCUCCUGGCGCUGCACCACAUUGGUCAACGUGGUCACUUGCGCCCGCAAUUGAUCCAUCUCGCUCGGUUCAGCCUGCUCGGGCACCUCGGGAAGCGGUGCCGAAGUAGGCCUCGUGCUCGGGCGUCUUCUUGGUGCCAUUGGCUCCUGAAACGCAAGUACUUGGUUAAUUAUCUUAACCCGUUCGCCUCGUCGCAAUUACGACACACAAUGACUCAACAACGAAAUCGGGCGGAAGCACACAAGUGUACUCAUUCUAGACUCUUGGUAUCAUGUAGUCGGCCGCCGACACAACCACCUCAAGACAAGAACUCAUACCACUUGAAUCCGUCUCUAAUCACAACUAGAGACAUAUUACCAACUUCGACCCAAUCGAAUCAACUUUCGCCAUCGUUAUAGGUUCACGUUCCACUCACGCACCUAUAACCUUAGGGCUUACCAACCUAGGGUCUCCUAGGUCAUCCUAGAUUCUCUCUUUACUUGCUCUUAUCGCUCUGAUACCAUACGACUGUCACGCCCUGCCCCGAAACCACUACCAAUUUGGCACGAUUCGGGCGCGUUGGGCGGACCGCCGAACGGACAGCACCUCUCCUGCCUGCCCAAGGCUCAACAACAGGAAUGUGUACAAAAAUUUACCCAGGAAAUUUAAAUUCUAAAUAUACACAUUCAACGGGGCACAAGUAGUGCGAACAACUGAGAGCAAGUAAUCCACAAGUAAAAACAAGUGAAAUAAAGAGAGUACUUUACUAACUAUUGCAAUAGUUUUGCAUCUUUUUAUAUGUACAUCUUUUCCUCAAAAUGAAUACAUAUGUUCAUUCAAAAUACGUAGCUCUCCAAAUCCUCACCUACAUUAAUCUCUCUCAAUACAUAGAUGUGCUAAUGCAAAAAGGAAAGCUACUAUACUACCACGAUCUCACUGAUUGGGCGCGAUGCCCUUGCCGCGGUCCUCGCUCAGUAAACCUGUACCUACCACUGGAAAUAGAGUGGGGGUGAGAACUAUCUUUCAUAGUUCCUAGUGGGCUCGGCCGCCGACUCCGCCGGUCUCCCCACUAGGUAAAAAUAGGCACAAGUAACAACAGAUAGAUAGAUAGAUAGAUAUCUGAAAGCUGUAAAGGCAUAAAGGAAAACUAUGCUACUAUGCCCAUAAUCAUGUAUAAUGAAUGCAUGCGUCAUAUAGUAAAGGUUUACUAUCAUGCUAACAAAUUCGAUCCAUGUUCGAAUAUUAAUGUUCAAUGACAUUGUUAACUGUUCAUUUACCCAAUCUGUGGUGAAGCCCUUGGGUUCGCCCUCGACUCACCUUGCCAUCCCAUUGGGUGGGUAGCUCCAUGUGCUCCCAGACCCGGGACCGUCUGCGGACCUCCAAGUGGUCCGGACCUCCAAGUUGUCCUAGUCGCGCGACACUCCGGAGUACUCGACGACAAUCCUCUCCAUGUGAGGAUAUGGAUGGCUAUACCACCCCAAAGCAGACCGUGAGCAUGAUCUAUUCCCUCCAUGUGGGGACACCCUACCUUUAGGGCCAACAUCUCAAUAGACACUCGUCUAUAUCCUCUCCAUGUGAGGAUACCCUAUGAACUAGGGUCAACAUCUCUUGCAGAAUCAUCUGUUCCCGACAUUCAUGUAAUGCUGUUUAGCUUUUCUAAAUUCAUUGUUCACAAGGCAUUUUCUAAGGGAUCCACCUAUCCCUAGGUCCAUCGACCUCUAGUGUUAAAUACACUACAUUAAUGCCACUCGAUAUGUUCUUUAACAUUUGAUGCCACUCGUUUGUUCUUUAGCAUUUAAACGCUACUUUCUAUGUCACCAAACACCCAUCGUGUUUCAUCUCUUUUCUUUAGCAUUAUAGGAUUCAUGUUCCGACCCAAUCCUUACCUAUCCAAGUCACCAAGCGUUCCAUGUACACUAGGUUAUCAAUUAGAAAGCAUAAGGAAAGGUACUACUAUGCAAUCCUACAAUGUAACAUGCAAGAGAUGCAAUCAUAUGCUAUUCUAAGACAUAGAAAAGAGCCCGGUUGCUUCGGGAUGACACCCCCCACCUUGUGUAGUCGAUGUUCGUUGUGGAGGUUCCAGAAGUGUUCCUCGGCCCUUCAAACCACGUGUUCCCCGCCUCUUUGGGAGAAACGAAGCUAGGUCGGCCCUAUAUUGCCGAUAGCUCUACACCUGCUCGAUGAAUCAUAAUUCCGACUCCGCCAACACGUUUGGACACCUAGCAAUUAGGUUUACAAGGCCUCAAAUGAGAUCAAUCUCAUCUAUUUUCAAAAAUCCCAUUUUGGGUGCCCUAGGGUUAGCAUCAUGCCAUUUGCACUAUGAAACCCUAGCCUCUAGCUCUAAUCCACCAACAAUGGUGCUAGAAGUCCAUUUGACCUCAUCUCAAAGCUCAAGACCCAAAAACCCUAAGUUCUCAAAGCUAGGGUUUGGUAGCUUACCUCUUGAGCUACACCAAAGAGAAGAGGAGAGGGAGAUGAAGGUGUCCAAGGCCUUCCUCUUGAUCUCCUUCUUCUUCUCCUCCCUUUUCUUCUUCUCCUUUUCCUUCCUGUCCUUCUUGUUCUUCUUGUUCUUAUUCUCUUUCUAGAGAGAGAGAGGGAGCAAGAGAGAGUGUAAGAGAGAGAGAAAGGGCCUACAUACCCCUCUAUUGUAACAAAAUCCAUUUUAGCCCCUCAACUUUUCACCCUGUACACAGUCCUCACUGGGCAUUCUGCGCCCAGAGGGACCGGUCCCUCGUCGGGGAGACCGGUCCCCGAGAGCAGUCCUGGCGGCCAGAAGGCCUCUUCGUGUUCGGGGACCGGUCUCUCCCUGGGAGACCGGUCCUCGGGAGACCGGUCCUCGCCUGAGAGACCGGUCUCCGAGAGCUCGAUUUUUAGGACUUAGCCGAUUUUGGCCUUCUCUCGCUGGCGUCGCACACGGGAACCGGUCCCCUCAGCCAGGGACUGGUUGCAUCAAAGAUCCCCAGCAACCACCAGCCUCGGGGACCGGUCUCUUCCUGCCAGGGACCGGUCCCCGAGAGCAACUUCAGCCCAGUGCAGGUUUUGCACUAUAUGCUCUCGCGGACUCAACUCCAAUGCACUUUUUGUGUUUUGGAUAACUUUAGCUUUCUCAAAGAAUACUCGACAAUUAGUCGAUCCUGGAUGAAAUACAACUCUCGGAUUUCGAGAAUUCACUUCCUUACAACUUGGCUGCCAUGAUAGAGCAUAUUCACUAUAUACCGAUAUAUUGGAUCAUGAUACCUACUUGCUCGUUAUGUUAGGACCUAUUAGUCAUGCUUGGACAUACUUCAUUUUGAUAAAGUAAAUUUACAACUCAUUGACAUCAUGUUUAAUUGCGACAUAGUAGCUUAGCAUUUUAUUUAUACUUUCAUAAAUGCAAUCUAUUUAUUAUUAUCGUCGUUUCUGUACUUACCCUUUUCUUUUGGGGCCUAGUGGUGCAUUGAGCUCAGGUCAGUAAUUGCCUACUGGGAACUAUAAAUUAUAGUUCUCAUGCCCUCUGUUUUAUGUCUUAUUUCAGAGCCUUUCACGCCGGGAGAGGCUAGGGACCGCGGAAAGGGUAUCGCCUCGAGCUAGCUUGCUAUCGAGGGACGCGUUGAUAGGUGGUCUAACUCUCGUUGUUUUCUUUUUGGAGAGGUUGAGUGUUGUAUUCAUGUAUAGAGACCACCCUUUUGUAUACCCCUUUUGGAGAUGGUUAUUGUAUAACUUUAUGAUUCACCUUUAUUGUUUAGUAUAUUCCUUCUACCUUGCUAUAGAUGAUAGAUUUACUCUUGCUCUGAUAUCUCUAGUUGUAGAUUAUCUUUGCCUUUAUUUUCUGCUGUUGUUGUAGAUGCCUUAUAUGUGUUGACAUAUGGCGGGUCUCGGCGCGCUCCCGGGAGGGCCUCCGCCCGUUCCGGGGCGUGACAGAUUAAUUUGGUAUCAGAGUCUAGGGUUGAGUCUCAGUGGACCUAGCAAACCUUAGGCCGGUUGGACUAUAGAAAAUAGACUCGUAAGAGACGAGGUCUAUUCGAUUUGUAAACGAAAGUAUUAUAAUUGGGUUUUAUGAUAACUCUAAAAAGUUGGAGUUGGACUAGAGUGUAUGGCUUCUAACUUCGCGGAGGGUUACGUUGGCGGCCGACAACGUAACAUCGGGAGUUAGUUGUGGAUAACACUUUCUUACUUUCGCAUGAUUUGGGUAUUGUUUAUUUGAGUGGGGAUACGAUAGCGUGGGUUGUACUAACUUGUGUUUUUAUGAUGUUGUAGAGACGAUGCCGAUCACCCGCUCUAAAUCUGCUGGAGCGGAUAAUGCGGCACAUCUUGAGCAGGUCGAGACCUCCGCUACCUUCGGAUCCGGUGAGGUCCGUGAGUUGAGGGGCCAGCUAGCAGCCCUCACUGCUUUGGUGACGGAGCAGGCGGACGCGGCACGCUGGCAGGAGGCGCGGAUGAAGCAUUUAGAGGACCUUCUGCUACAGCAGGCGGCUGCCAGGGAGACUCAGAACCUUACACCACCCGCACCAGUGGAGGUGGUUGCGCCCAGGGUGUCUUCCCCUGCACUCGACGCUUCUAAAACGGCACCAGCAGCAGCACCUCGAGAGGAGGACAUCGCGGCACCACCAGCGCGAGCACCUGUAGCGGGGGCGGUUUUCUCUGUGAUGGUUGAGGGAGCUGAGCGGGAUCGGCUUAUGGAGCGUCUUAGUGAGUUCAUGAGAUGCAGUCCACGGAGCUUCGACGGGGAGAACGUGGACCAUUGGAUAGUAGAGAAAUGGCUGAUGCAUAUGGAGAAGCUGUUUCGGGACACCUUUGUCGAGGAGAGGGAUCGAGUGUGGCUCGCCACACAUCAUUUGGACGGCGAGGCCUAUAGAUAGUGGUUGGACAUCCAGGAUAACCCCAGCACGGAUUUGACAGCGAUUUCAUGGAGGAGGUUCAAGGAACUCCUACUGGAGCAUUACUUCCCUGACAGUGUUAAGAGGAAGAUGGAGCAGGAUCUGCACAAUCUGCGUUAGGGGGACAGGACUGUAGCCGAGUAUGAGAGAGAGUUCUCCCGGCUUCUUCAUUAUGUGCCCUUCGUUGUUUGAGACGACGUGGACAAGGCCCGCAUCUUCGAGAGGGGAUAGCGGCCUUCGAUCUUUCGGUUUGUUCAGUCUUCCAACCUCCAAACCUAUCGGGAGGUUGUGAACCGCGCACUCAUAGUGGAGAGUGGCGCGGCAGAUCUGCAGGAGCGGCGAGAGGCCCUGGACAAAGGCAAGGGCAAGAGGCCCGCGACUGAAGGUGCGAGCCAGGCGCACUUUGGGAGGCCGCCGAGGCAUCCGAGACACUGGAGCUAGUCGCGAGGACGUGGCCAGUCUACUCAGCGAGGAGGACCUAAUCGACGCCAGGCUCCGCGCUGCGUGAUCUGCGGUGGUCCCCAUUUUCCACGGCAGUGUUCACGCAGUCUGGGCAAGUGCUACUUGUGUGGUCAAGAGGGCCACUUCCAGUCGGACUCCCCGAGGAGUCCAGCACCAGUGCCAUCUUCGGCAUCUGCACCAGCUUUACCGGGUCCUAGCCAGGGGACACUUUCUGCGCAUCACCAGGCUGGGCGGCCGUUAGUUCAGCGGUAGGCGGAGGGGUCACGACAGGCCCCGAGUGGGCGCAUGUAUGCGGCCCAGACUAAGGAGGCUGCGGCAGUCGAGAAUGUGGUCACAGGUAUUAUUUUAUUUUAUGGUAUUCGAGUACGAGCAUUAUUUGAUACCAGUGGAUCGCAUUCAUUUAUAAACUGGCUGUUUGCCGAAUUGCAUGGCAUCCCACUGACAUCGUUGUUUCAUCCGGGACGAGUCAUAGUACCCGAUCACUCUUUGGAUAUCCGAGAGUUUUGCCCCAGUUGCCCUGUUCGGGUUGGAGAUUGGAUCAUGCCCGUGGACUUGCUAGCUUUGCAUAAACUCGGAGAGUUUGAUGUUGUUUUGGGCAUGGAUUGGUUGACCAAGUACUACGCCACUAUUGAUUGCAUGAAUCGAACAGUGACGUUUAAAGAGCCGGGGCAGGAAGAGGUUGUGUAUCGAGGAUGCCAGAGUUCGCUGUUUGCGAUGACGAUUAGCUCCUCUCAUGCUAGGCAGUUGAUCAGCAGAGGCUGCAUAGCCUAUUUGGCUACUGUUGUGUUGCGGGGCGAUGCAGACGCCCCUAGGAUUGAGGAUAUCCCCGUGGUAUGAAAGUUUGGAGAUGCAUUUCCAGCAGAGCUUCCAGGCAUGCCACCUGAUAGGGAGAUUGAGUUUGUGGUAGAUCUCAUUCCUGGGACUACCCCAAUCUCAAAGGCGCCCUAUAGGAUGGCACCAGCGGAAUUGAAGGAGCUGAAGGCACAGUUGCAGGAUCUUCUGGACAAGAGUUUUGUGCAACCGAGUGUGUCACCUUGGGGAGCACCGGUUCUGUUUGUGAAGAAGAAGGAUGGAUCACUUCGCUUGUGCGUGGAUUAUCGUGAACUCAAUAAAGUCACAAUCAAGAAUAAGUAUCCAUUACCGAGGAUUGAUGAUUUAUUUGAUCAGCUCCAGGGAUCUAGUGUGUAUUCCAAGAUCGACUUGCAGUCGGGAUACCAUCAGUUGAAGAUCAAGCCUGAGGAUGUGUCGAAGACGGCUUUUAGAACACGGUAUGGACAUUAUGAGUUUACAGUUAUGCCGUUUGGGCUUACUAAUGCCUCGACAGCUUUUAUGGAUUCGAUAAACCGUGUUUUCAAGCCUUAUUUAGACAGGUUCGUCGUGGUAUUCAUCGACGACAUUUUGGUUUAUUCCCGAAGUGAUGCGGAUCACGAGGAAUACUUGAGACUUGUACUUCAAGUGCUUCGGACAAAGGAGCUCCAUGCCAAAUUGAAGAAGUGUGAGUUUUGGCUUAGAGAGGUGACGUUUUUGGGCCAUUUGCUUUCAGGAUCAGGUAUAGCUGUGGAUCCUAGAAAGAUUGAAGCCAUCAAGGAUUGGCCGAGGCCGACGAGUGUCACCAAGAUUCGGAGUUUUCUUGGCUUGGCCGGCUACUACCGACGGUUUGUCGAGGGAUUCACAAAGUUAUCUACUCCCCUUACAAGGCUUACGCAUAAAGGCACCAAGUUUGUUUGGAAUGAUGCAUGUGAAAGGAGCUUCCAAGAAUUGAAGCAGAGAUUGACGACCGCCCCGAUCCUAACCGUGCCAACUGCUGGAGUAGGGUAUGUGGUUUAUAGUGAUGCUUCCUUUAAUGGAUUGGGCUGUGUCUUGAUGCAGGACGGGAAAGUGAUCGCGUAUGCAUCCCCCCAACUGAAGGAUUAUGAAAGAAACUACCCUACUCACGAUUUGGAGUUGGCGGCCGUAGUCUUUGCAUUGAAGCUGUGGCGCCAUUACUUGUACGGCGAGUGAUGCGAAGUAUAUACGAAUCACAAGAGUUUAAAGUAUCUAUUCACUCAGAAGGAGUUGAACUUGAGGCAGCGCAGAUGGUUGGAGCUACUCAAGGAUUAUGAUUUGACGAUACUUUACCACCCGGGCAAGGCUAACGUGGUGGCGGAUGCGCUAAGUAGGAAAUCGACGGAAAACUUAGUGAUGCUUGUUGUUACUCAACCGCCGUUGAUCAAGCAGAUGAAGCGGUUGGAGUUGGAGGUGGUGGCAACCUGAUACACCCUUGAGACUGAUGACCUUGGUGGUGCAACCUACACUUUUGGAAAGGAUUAAAGAAAAGCAAGUCUCCGAUGUGGAGUUGCAACGGAUAAGAGCUAAGAUGAUUGAUGGUUGCACCGGUGACUUUUCUGUAGACGGUGUUGGAUUGAUGCGUUUCCGUGGACGGAUCUGUGUACCAGCAGAAUCGGCACUUAGAGAAGAAAUUCUUCAAGAGGCACACCGAGCACCGUAUGCUAUACAUCUGGGAGGCACCAAGAUGUACAAGGACUUGAAGUUGCUUUAUUGGUGGCCUGGGAUGAUGAAAAACGUUGGUGAGUUUGUUGCUAGAUGUCUAACUUGCCAACAGGUGAAAGCUGAGCACCGAAUUUCCGCGGAAAAAUUACAGAGCUUACCGAUUCCUGUGUGGAAAUGGGAGAAGAUCACCAUGGACUUCGUGAUGGGAUUGCCCCGCUCACAGGCCGGGCAUAAUGCUAUUUGGGUGAUUGUGGAUAGGUUGACGAAAUCGACACAUUUCAUACCUAUCCACACCACUUGGACUGGUGAGAGACUUGCACAGGUAUAUUUGGAUGAGAUUGUGCGAUUGCACGGGGUACCUACUUCUAUAAUAUCAGAUCGAGACCCCCGAUUUGUAUCUCAUUUUUGGAGGAGCUUACAAGAUACUUUGGGUACGCGCUUUGAUUUCAGUACCGCUUUCCACCCCCAGAGUGAUGGGCAGUCAGAGCGCACUAUACAGACUCUCGAGGACAUGCUUUGAGCCUGUGUGAUUGACUUCGAGGGAGGAUGGUCGCAGCAUCUACCGAUGGCAGAGUUUGCUUGUAACAACAGUUAUCAAGCAAGCAUCAAGAUGGCACCUUUCGAGGCACUCUAUGGACGAAAGUGUAGAUCACCACUUCAUUGGAGUGAAGUUGACGAGAGAUUGGUUUUCGGCCCAGAUGUGCUCUAGGAAGCAGAGAGCAAGGUUCGCAUUGCUCGGGAGCGACUGUUGACAGCCUAGAGUAGGCAGAGGAGUUAUGCUGAUAGGCGUCGACGAGACUUGGAGUUUCAGAUUGGUGAUCAUGUCUUCUUGAAAGUCUCGCCGACCAGAGGGAUUAGAAGAUUUGGGAUCCGGGGUAAGUUGAGCCCCCGAUACAUUGGACCGUAUAAGGUUUUGGAGCGUGUAGGCCCGGUGGCAUAUCGACUUGCUCUACCACUGAACCUAUCGGGUGUACACAAUGUAUUUCAUGUAUCGGUCCUUCGGAAGUACAUCCAUGAUCCGGCUCACAUGUUGGACGCUACACCUUUGGAGCUGAGGGAUGAUUUGAGCUUUGAAGAGCAACCUUUGAGAAUUUUGGCUCGCGAAGUAAAGAGAUUGCGGAACCGUGAGAUUCCCUACGUGAAGGUGCUUUGGAGCAACCAUGAUGAGCGCGAGGCCACUUAGGAGUUGGAGAGCACGCUGCAGGAGCGCUAUCCCCAUCUUUUUCAGAUGGAGGCUUGAGGUACCUUGCUUUUCGAGUUUCGCAGACAAAACUCCUUAUUAGGAGGGGUGAAUGUAACACACUGGACCUUUGCAAAUUGCGAGGUUCGAGUGUUUGGGUUGAGUUAUGAGUUUUUUCAGAUUUUCUAGUGGGUCAUUGACAGUGUUUUGACCUAUGGCUCGUACCCCGAGAAUUGAGGUUUGAAGCUUUGCACCAAAACCCGAAAGUCGAAUUUUUGGUCAGCUCUCGGGUAGCCUUCUGCAGGCUGCGUACCGGUACAGGGUUGAUGGCUGUACCGGUAUAGGGUUGAUGGCUGUACCGGUACGCGGGCCUGUGUACCGGUAUACUGUGGCAGAAUCUGAAUGGUCGAACUGCAGGGGUGUUUUUGCGAUUGUGGCUUUCUAUAACACCACCCACGCCCCUUAGAGCCUCCCCUGAGCUGAAACUAGUGGAGAGCAAGGUAGGACUCCUCUCCUCCUCUCCUCUUUGGUUUAUUCUUUCCUUUUUACUUGGGAUUUAAGGUUUGAUUUCCUCUUUUGCUCCUUGGUGAUAUUUCCACCUUGGUUGAAGCUUGAAGCUUGGAUUUGGAGCUUGGUUGAGGGAAGAUCUUUGAAGUUUGAAGACUUAGAGCUUGGAUUGAAGCUUUCAAGAGGUUGGUAACAAGUUUCUUUCAUUUAGAUUCUUGUUUUGAUGGUUUCUUUGAGAUGAAACCCUAGAAUGAGGUUUUAGGGUUGAUUUUGGGCAUUUUGGAUCUAGGGCUUUUGGAGCUCAAUCUCUUGGAUUAGAACCUUCCUCUAGGUUGGAUUGGAAGGGUUCUAGCCCUCUUUUGGAGCUUAAGAAGAGAUUUCUUCAUUGAAGGUGAGUUUUGGCACUUUUCUUGAGACGGUUAAAGAUCGAGCUAGGGAUUGUUCAUAACGUUCGUUUCUCUCUUCUUUCCUUACCUUUAGGGUGCUAGAGGACUUGGGGACAACUUCGUUUGAGCUUACGAAGGGUUCCGAGAUGCUUCGGUGGGUUUGACCUAGCCGCACAAUGAGAAAUUCUCAUUUGUGAUGAUUUGAGUAUCAUAAAAUGGAAAAACAUGCAUAUUCAUGUUAAAUGUAUUUAUUAUGAAUUUUAGAAUGCUUAAAAUGCCUAUGUUACAUAUAAUGCAUUUUGGAUCUCUAUGUAGUGGAGAGUUGCAUGUGGGGCUUAUGGUUGCAUUUAGCAUUCCGUGUGGGAUUUGGGACCAUGUUUCCUAUAGUAGAAAUGACAUAUGUUGUCACGCCCCCGCCCCGAGGCCACUACCAAUUUGGUCUGGUUUGGGCGCGGCGGACGGACGCCGAACGGACAGUACCUCCCCUGUUCGCCCAAGGCUAAACAACCUGAUCAAUUACAAUUAAGCGCCCAGGAAUUUGCUUAAAUAACAUACAUGAUCAAUUAUGAUGUACACAAGUGCAAUACAGCUAAGAGCAAAAACCACAAGUAAUAUACAAGUGUAUAAAGAGAAAUAGUCUAGCUAUUACAACCAUUCAACAUUUACAUAAGUUGAUUACAUUACAUUUUCAUCUUUCAAAAUAUAAAUACAUGUUUUUCUCCAAAAUACAAGUAGCUCUCCGAUAACGAUCGAAACAUCUUCUAGUACACGAGGGUACUCUAAUGCAUAAGGAAAAGCUACUAACUAAGCUUAUUUAGGGCGCUAUGCCCUUGCCGCGAUUCUCGCUCGGCUCGCCCCUGUGUGUACCUGUACCCCAAAACCACAUGGGGUGAGAACUAUAUAAAUAUAGUUCCUAGUGGGUUCGGCCUCCGACUCUGCCGGUUUUCCCAUUAGGUGUAAGCUGGUACAGAUAGAGAGAUAGAUAGAUAUAUAGAGAAAUGAACUGCAACUACUCUAUCAUGCCACCAAUGAUAAUAAUGCAUACAACAACUACUAUCAUGCUAGUAUCAUGUCAUGAGUAUAGAAAAGUACAUAGCAAUGCAAAUUACAACAUACACUAUGUCUACUCAAGGUAAUAAUGCAAAUCUACUAUGCAUUCCAUGUUUAUUACCCAAUCUACUUGGCUAACCCGUAGGUUAUGCCCUCGACUCACUCUCAAUCUCAUAGGUGAGGAGAAGCUGCACUCGCACACCGAGACCGUCUGCGGGACAACUACGUCUGCCCCUAGUGAAGUACUCCGGAGACUCGUACCACGGUGGAGCGACACUGACAGCGAAAACAGACUAAUGAGUAUGAUCCAAUCCUCACAAGAGGAUACCCUAUCUACAAAGGUCAACGUGCCUCUGCUGCACAUUAUACAAUGCAUCUUAGAUGCUGGGAUCUCUACUAUCCCUAGAACCAUGUCAUGUUUACUACACUAGACUCGAUGCCACUCGUUCGAUCAUUGUAGUAAGUUUUCUAGCUAGUUGACAUGCUACUCGUUCUUGUUUAGUGUUUCUACUACACUAGUUCAAUGCCACUCUACUAGGCUAACAUAUGUCCAAGUUCGGCUCUUUAUACCUGUUGAGUCAGUUAGGCGCGAACAGCUGGCAUGCCGAGUCCAUAUCCAUAAGACGGCUAAAACGGUAAACCUAGAAUACACCGGACGCAUGCGAGUCGCACUGGACCGAGAAGUUAUAACAACCGCAAGCAGUUACGAGCGGUUUCGAUCGGCCGAAGGUGGUCCUACGAAUCAGGAGAUAGUGGCUGAUCGUGCAAGAGCAAUAACUAACGCAAAGGCGGUUCUAUAAAUAGGCAUACGAUACCCUGAAAAAGGGUCUUCGCCCUUGCGCACAAAAGACCACCUUUAUUUUCCUGUAUCUUUCUAUUCUCGCAUUUACCGCUUUCCUUAGGAGUAGUUCCGGUAAUUUAGCAUACUAGGAGUCUAUCUGCCCUACGUGCAUCACUCCCCUGUUCCCAUACUCGGAGUCUGUUUGCCCUACGAGCAUCACUCCCUUGCUCGUGUACUUUUUCCCAUUUGCUAUUCAAUAGAAAGUCAUUUUCGGCUCUUCCUGCCGAUCAGAUCACAAGUUGUUUAGCCAUUCGGCUCAUUUCUUAAUCGAAUUCUGGGCUUCCCCUCUCCAUUCAGCUCAUCGAGCCGAAGCGAAUUUACUGUGGAGGAUUUCGAACCCGGCUGAUUCGAUCUCUCAUCGGCCUAAUCGCUUGAUCCUUUAUGGGCGCAUACUUCGAGGGUCAUAAUCCGCAGCCGUCUCGCACCCCGACGUUCUUCCUGAGGAGAAUUCUUGACCGGGUCAAGGGUCGGGACAUUCGGCGCGCAAUAAUUUUUUGGCACGCCCGGUGGGACACAUUUUUUGAGGUAAAUCUGCAUUUUAUAUAAAACAUGGCUGAUGAUAACGCCAUGAAUCUCCGUAACAGGGCUAUUCCCAGAAAUUCUGGGAGCGAACAGCCCAGCAAUUCGAAAAAUAAUGUAGAGCGCCAGGCGGUUUUACCUGUUGAGGGUGAGACUAGUGGUCAAUCUGACCAACAGGAGCCUAGUUUGACCCAAGCGCUUGGUCAAAUGACUCGGGUCCUACAAACUUUGGACCAAAAUAGUCAUGCGAGUACUGCACGGCUGGAUGCCGUUUUGGCCGCAAUCACGGCCUCUAACGAGAACAUAGCCCGAAUAGGGCAAUUGUUAGCUCGGAAUGAACAGCCGAUAGCAGGCCUACAAGCGCCUGUGAUAACGCCAAUGUUACAGAAUCCAGUAACACCGGUAGUUCGGCAGCCCGAAUACCAGUGGCUACAGUAUCAAGCGGCUUAUAGGCCGGCUGUUGGUAAUGCUGGUCAACAGCCGGAAGUGGCUUGGGGGUUACCUCCACUUCGUCCAGUUGCAGCCUACCUGCCCCAAAAUGUAGGGGCUAGGGGGCAGGUUUUGAAUGGGCAAGGGAUUAAUCCCUUAGCACAAAAUCUCAGUGCACAACAACCACCGAAUCCGGUACCAGCGCAAGUUCCUUUCCAAGGAGUUAACAAUGAGAUAUAUGCGCAAAUAGAGGAGGCCAUCCGAAACACUUUCUGUCACGCCCCGGGACCGAUGCCAAUUUGGCCCGACCCGAGCACGACAAACAGACGCCGAACGGACAGAGUUUCCCCUAUCCGCCCAAGGCUCAUCACACGUACAUUUUCAUCAUUAGAGAAAAGCACUAGCGGAAACAUACACAAACAGCUUACACGAGGGUAAGCAAUAGCCAUAAGUGAAAGAAAGGAAAACUAAACAUUCACAAGUAAUAUGAUUCAUUUUAGAUCAUAUACAUUACAUCCAUCUUUUACAUUUAAGAUUCUUGCUGUUCUUACAUAAUCUCAUCAUUUCUUUCUUACAACACAUUUACCUCAAAAUAAGCUUUACAUUCUUUCUUUACAUCACAAAUCAUCAAAUACAAAAGAUGAUAAAAGGGUGUCUACUAACAAAAUGUAAACCCAACUCUGGUGGCCUCUGACUAAGGCGCGAUACCUUUACCUCGGUCGCUCGCCGGCUCGCUCGGUCCCGGCUCUGUGGAAAUAGUGGGGUGAGAACUACAACAAAGUUCCCAGUGGGUUCGGCCUCAAUAUCACCGACUUUCCCACUAGGACUAACUCAGGCAUAAUAGAAAGGAUAAGCUGAAAUAUGGUAACCAAUCUAUAACAUGAUGCUAAUAUGCCUGAANNNNNNNNNNNNNNNNNNNNNNNNNNNNNNNNNNNNNNNNNNNNNNNNNNNNNNNNNNNNNNNNNNNNNNNNNNNNNNNNNNNNNNNNNNNNNNNNNNNNNNNNNNNNNNNNNNNNNNNNNNNNNNNNNNNNNNNNNNNNNNNNNNNNNNNNNNNNNNNNNNNNNNNNNNNNNNNNNNNNNNNNNNNNNNNNNNNNNNNNNNNNNNNNNNNNNNNNNNNNNNNNNNNNNNNNNNNNNNNNNNNNNNNNNNNNNNNNNNNNNNNNNNNNNNNNNNNNNNNNNNNNNNNNNNNNNNNNNNNNNNNNNNNNNNNNNNNNNNNNNNNNNNNNNNNNNNNNNNNNNNNNNNNNNNNNNNNNNNNNNNNNNNNNNNNNNNNNNNNNNNNNNNNNNNNNNNNNNNNNNNNNNNNNNNNNNNNNNNNNNNNNNNNNNNNNNNNNNNNNNNNNNNNNNNNNNNNNNNNNNNNNNNNNNNNNNNNNNNNNNNNNNNNNNNNNNNNNNNNNNNNNNNNNNNNNNNNNNNNNNNNNNNNNNNNNNNNNNNNNNNNNNNNNNNNNNNNNNNNNNNNNNNNNNNNNNNNNNNNNNNNNNNNNNNNNNNNNNNNNNNNNNNNNNNNNNNNNNNNNNNNNNNNNNNNNNNNNNNNNNNNNNNNNNNNNNNNNNNNNNNNNNNNNNNNNNNNNNNNNNNNNNNNNNNNNNNNNNNNNNNNNNNNNNNNNNNNNNNNNNNNNNNNNNNNNNNNNNNNNNNNNNNNNNNNNNNNNNNNNNNNNNNNNNNNNNNNNNNNNNNNNNNNNNNNNNNNNNNNNNNNNNNNNNNNNNNNNNNNNNNNNNNNNNNNNNNNNNNNNNNNNNNNNNNNNNNNNNNNNNNNNNNNNNNNNNNNNNNNNNNNNNNNNNNNNNNNNNNNNNNNNNNNNNNNNNNNNNNNNNNNNNNNNNNNNNNNNNNNNNNNNNNNNNNNNNNNNNNNNNNNNNNNNNNNNNNNNNNNNNNNNNNNNNNNNNNNNNNNNNNNNNNNNNNNNNNNNNNNNNNNNNNNNNNNNNNNNNNNNNNNNNNNNNNNNNNNNNNNNNNNNNNNNNNNNNNNNNNNNNNNNNNNNNNNNNNNNNNNNNNNNNNNNNNNNNNNNNNNNNNNNNNNNNNNNNNNNNNNNNNNNNNNNNNNNNNNNNNNNNNNNNNNNNNNNNNNNNNNNNNNNNNNNNNNNNNNNNNNNNNNNNNNNNNNNNNNNNNNNNNNNNNNNNNNNNNNNNNNNNNNNNNNNNNNNNNNNNNNNNNNNNNNNNNNNNNNNNNNNNNNNNNNNNNNNNNNNNNNNNNNNNNNNNNNNNNNNNNNNNNNNNNNNNNNNNNNNNNNNNNNNNNNNNNNNNNNNNNNNNNNNNNNNNNNNNNNNNNNNNNNNNNNNNNNNNNNNNNNNNNNNNNNNNNNNNNNNNNNNNNNNNNNNNNNNNNNNNNNNNNNNNNNNNNNNNNNNNNNNNNNNNNNNNNNNNNNNNNNNNNNNNNNNNNNNNNNNNNNNNNNNNNNNNNNNNNNNNNNNNNNNNNNNNNNNNNNNNNNNNNNNNNNNNNNNNNNNNNNNNNNNNNNNNNNNNNNNNNNNNNNNNNNNNNNNNNNNNNNNNNNNNNNNNNNNNNNNNNNNNNNNNNNNNNNNNNNNNNNNNNNNNNNNNNNNNNNNNNNNNNNNNNNNNNNNNNNNNNNNNNNNNNNNNNNNNNNNNNNNNNNNNNNNNNNNNNNNNNNNNNNNNNNNNNNNNNNNNNNNNNNNNNNNNNNNNNNNNNNNNNNNNNNNNNNNNNNNNNNNNNNNNNNNNNNNNNNNNNNNNNNNNNNNNNNNNNNNNNNNNNNNNNNNNNNNNNNNNNNNNNNNUUUUCUUCCUUUCUUCUUCUUCUCCUUUGUCUUCUAGAGAGAGAGAGGGAGAGAAGAGAGUGUGAGAGGGUGAGAAAUGAGAGAAAAACCCCUCAGCCCCCCUAACAUAGCUCAAUGGGUUGCCAAAAUGCAAAUAAACCCCUCAACUUUCACUUUAAUACACUGCCCGAACUGGGCAUUCCGCGCAGGCAGAGACCGGUCUCCCCGAGCAGGGACCGGUUCCCGAACGUCCACCCUGCGCAGCCAGAGCUGCUGCGCGCAGUGCAACCGGUCUCUCCUUAUGGGACCGGUCUCUGGGGGACCGGUCUCUCAGGCAGAGACCGGUUCCCGAGAGCUAUCCUUCCAGGACUUAGCCGAUUUUUCGGCUGUCUCAUUUCAUACGUGUUCGGGGACCGGUCUCUCCCUUUAGGGACCGGUCCCCGAGAGCUGAAAAUCUGCAGUUUUGCAGAAUUGAUUCUUUAGCUCUCGAAAACCUUCCACAACUCACUUUCGAUCAUUUUAGCACCUUCGGACUUUCCGAAGUGUACCGUCCUCGCACUUUGGUCAAUUUGACUAAAGUUCGAUAUUUAUUUUCCGAAUUUUCGGUAUAUUACACUUUCGGAGUAGGCACAAGGCUGGCAAUGCGGCUUGUAUUUAGAUCACCAUAUCCUGCAAAUAUAGAUGUAGAACACCCAUAUCCGGCAAAUUGGAAGAUGCCGAAAUUUGACAAAUUCUCCGGCGAUGAGACCGAAAAUACGGUCGAACACGUCGCUCGAUUUACAGCCCAAUGCCGCGAAGCAGUGGCAGAUCCUUUUUUAAAAUUAAGGUUAUUCAAUACCUCACUGACCAAGACUGCCUUCACUUGGUAUACAAGUCUAUCUGCUAAUUUCGUCCGAGACUGGGACGAAUUAGAGGGAAAAUUUCAUGAGCAAUUUUAUAGAACCGAGCCGGAGUUGUCGGUUGCAGACUUGGCUCAAUUUAGACAAAAAACAGGAGAAUCGGUUGAUGAAUAUUUAAACCGAUUCAAGACGGCUCGAAGCCGAUGUUUUGUAAGGAUGCCGGAAUCAGAAUUUGCCAAAAUGGCAUUUAACGGCAUGCAUUUUAAGAUUAAAGAUCAUUUUGAUGAUAAGUUUUUUCCAAAUCUUUUUGAUUUAGGAGUUCGAGUUGCUCAAUACGAGCAAUUUCGAAAAGGGAAUAAUGAAGAUCGGCCUAGAUGGAGCCGAAACAAGGAUUGGAACAAACGCAAAGAGAAAUAUUUCUUUCUUUGAAGAGUCCUCGGCUCAUGAAGAGCCGAAUUCAUCUGAAGAGGCAGAAGAUUCGGCUGAUGAGGCCGAAAUCUGUGCUGCCGAGAUGAUAAGAAACAGUCAACCGUAUAAAUGUGCUUUGCUAAAACCUGCAAAGUCAAGAGAAGCAAAAGCACAAAUAUCAGCAUUUAGUUAUUCAUUUGACAUAGCAAAGACCGAUCUUAUUUUCGAUCGGUUGUUAAAGGAUGGACGAAUUAAACUACAGGAAGGCCAAACCAUACCUCCUGUAGAAUAAUUAAAACGCAGAAGAUAUUGUAAGUGGCACCAUUCAUGGAGCCAUAAGACUAGUGAUUGCACUGCCUUCAAAAGGCAGAUUCAAAAGGAAAUAAAUGAAGGUUGGCUUAUCUUUGCCGACCAAGAAAAUAAAGACAUGGAAAUUGAUAAGAAUCCUUUUCUAUCACAGGUCAACGCCGUGAACAUGAAAGGGAAAGGAAAGGCGAUUACGAAAAGGUAGAUCCAAGAAGAAAUAGAAGAGGGUCAGCUCAUAUUGGCCGACCAGGAAAACGAAAAUAAAAUAAUUAACAAAAGUUCAUUUCCAUUUCAGGUCAAUAUGGUGAAUAUUAAAGAAAAAGAAGUUUUGGACAAGGAGACCGCUGACAACGUGGCCCAUGCCAAGAAACGCCUUCGGCUAUGCAUCAGGUGCAAGGUCGAAAUGACGAAGAAAGACUGGGAAGCCAUCGUGAAUGCCAAGAAAAGGGGGAAUGAAUGGAAUGAGCUGAUGGCCUUCCUUGAGGAUUGGGAUGACAUUCCUGAUGGCGAAGACCAAGAAGAAGAAGGCUCGGAUGCAGUCUCUAAUGAUACUGAACCGGAAGUAGAUUCGGUUCAACGCAAGAAAGAUAUGCUCAUGCAGAAGAUUCUGCAUGAUUACUACAACAACAGGUGUGGAGAACGUCAUGGCCGAUGGGACUACCAGGAUAGACCAUUCGGCUCCAAGCAAAGGUUUCCUAGAUAUCGGCCGCACUGGCAACAGCAAGCCAGGCCGAGACUAGAACCCGAAUUUGAAGGAAUGACCGAGGGAGACAUAGAAUUCCUCGGUCGGAGGUUAGUCAACGAAUUCGGCAUUCAGCCUUGGCCGAGACCAUGGAAAAGAAGAGAAAUUCUAAACAAUCAUUUAAGAACAGUAAAAGUACCGGCAAACGUGCCAGUGGAUGAAUGGCACGAAGUCGAAGUUAAACCAUCGGCCAGAUGGCAGGGGCCGAUGUUAACAAAAACCCAAAAGCGUCGGCAGCAGAGGAUGCAGGCCGAGGCACGUCAACAUUAUGAAGAGGCGAAAGAGAUGAGGCUCAAUGUAUGGAGACGCCAGGAUGAGCAGCCACACCCUUUUCGUCUGAUGAGAAAUGACCAUGAGGCAGGCGGCUCAUCGCCUGCCUUACAGUUGAAGUCAAGAAUAAAAUGGCCAACCGAGGCCGAGUUAGAAGAGAAAAUGACCAGGAGGGAGUUGGAAGAUAAAAUAGCUUCCCUCGAGACGAUGAUCAAGAGAGAAAGAUGGCCUCCUAAAGAGAGGGAGGUCCGUAUGGAGAGCGACUCUUCAGCCGAAACGGCCAAGGAGUCAGAAGAGAAGAAACAGAGAGUCAAAGGAAAAUCGGUUGACGAAUCACCGGCCGAGGUGAAUAUGGUGUACGCUCUGCCUCAAUCCUUCAAAGCAGAGUUUGUUGAGUCCGAGAAAUUCAGAGAAGAGGAAGAAAAUGGGCUUACAGUAGCCCAAUUGCACCUAGAGGAUGUUCGACAGGCCAAUGCGGUGGUUUUUGGGAAACCAUUGGCCAUACAGAAGAGGUUCAUCAGGCCUCUCUUUAUAAAAGCUUUAAUAGAAGGCCGGCCGGUAGGCCGAGUUAUGGUAGACGGCGGCGCUAUGGUCAAUGUGAUGCCUACUUCUUUUUUCAAGAAGUUGGGCAAAGAUGAAGACGAAUUGAAGCCCACCGAUUCAAUCAUGACCGAUUUUACAGGAAACGGUCAACAAGCUCGAGGAGUGCUCACCACCGAACUCACGGUAGGUUCAAAAACUCUAAAAACUGCGUUUUUCGUAGUGGAUGUAGAUAGCCACUACAAUUUGCUAUUGGGAAGAGAUUGGAUACACUCAAAUGAGUGUGUACCCUCUACACUCCACGAAAAAUUGUUCCAGUGGAGAGGAGACAACGUAGAAGAAGUCAGGGCCGAAGGACGGCCUCAAAUGAUAGAUGUCAACAUGGAGGACAUCGGUCACACCAAUUGGGCCGAUGCUGAUCCAGAUCAGAUUUCGUUUGUGAGAGUGACGGAGGAGGGGAUUCAAUUAAUUCUCUCCAAAGAUAUCAAUGCUAUCGUGGCUGAUGAAGAGCCACCUAAAUGGUUAAAGUGGAGUCCCAAAAGUCGAGAAUAGAGGCUGGGCAUAAGCCUCUACAGAACGAGCCGAUCAACAAGAUCGGCUAUGGAGAUGAUUCGGCUGCUAUAGCCGAUGUGUUACCACCUGACAAUUCGGCUAAUAAGGCCGAGAAAACCAUAAAGGAUUUGGCUUAUAAAGCCGAAGAAGAAGGCCAAAUGAAAUCGGUCAUGGAGACUGAUGAAUCAUAUGAGAUGAAUAGGCAAACAGCGAAAAUGAAGCUAGAAGAAUCGCCUAUUAAAGUCGACGAGAAAAAGCUGGAGAUCCAGGAUUUGUUGAUAGAGGUAAAUCUGGGGUCCCAUGAAGACAACAAGCCGACGUUUAUAAGUUUCAAGUUGUCGGCUCAGCAACAGGAAGAAUUGAAGAAGCUGUUGAAGGAGUACAAGUAUUUCUUCGCCUGGAGCUAUGAAGAAAUGUCAGGCCUAAGCUGAGAGAUCGUAGAACAUCGGCUGCCCAUCAAAAAAGGGUUCAAGCCUUUUAGACAACCAGUUCGUAGGUUUGAGCUGAGUAUUGUACUUCAAAUUAAAAAUGAAAUUGAAAAUCUUUUAAAGGCCGGAUUUAUUAGAGCGGCCCGUUAUGUUGAUUGGGUAUCUAAUAUAGUUCCAGUGCGUAAAAAGAAUGGCAAACUUAGAGUUUGUAUUGAUUUUAGGAACUUGAAUUUAGCUACACCUAAAGAUGAAUAUCCAAUGCCAAUAGCCGAUAUGUUAGUAGAUUCGGCUGCAGGUAAUGAAAUCCUGUCCUUUAUGGAUGGACAUGUUGGUUAUAACCAAAUUUACAUUGCUGAGGGAGACGUGGCUAAAACGGCUUUUAGAUGCCCCGGUUCAAUUGGAACCUUUGAAUGGGUUGUUAUGCCGUUCGGCUUAAAAAAUGCCGGAGCUACUUACCAGAGAGCAAUGAAUUUUAUUUUCCAUGAUUUAAUCGGCAAAAAGUUGGAAGUAUAUAUCGAUGAUAUAGUUGUAAAAUCCCAAUCACAAGCCGAACAUUGGAGUGAUUUGAAAUUCGCCUUUGAGAGAAUGAGAAAAUAUAAGUUAAAAAUGAACCCUUUGAAAUGCGCUUUUGGAGUUUCUGUAGGAAACUUUUUGGGAUUUUUAGUGCAUAAGAAAAGGAUCGAAAUUGAUAAAAAUAAGGCGAGAGCAAUACUAGAACUAUCGCCACCCAAGUGCAAAAAGAAGCUACAAAGUUUGCUGGGAAAGAUUAAUUAUCUUCGGCGGUUUAUAUCUAAUUUAGCCGGAAGGAUCGGGGUUUUUACUCCAUUACUUCAGCUGAAGGAUAAAGAAGAAUUCGUUUGGACAAAGGAACAGCAGGAGGCAUUUGAAAAAAUAAAAAGGUACUUAUCGAAUCCUCCAGUACUAGUACCUCCGAAGAUAAAUCAGCCGAUGAAAUUAUAUAUAUCGGCUGCAGAAGAAAAUUUGGGAUGCUUGUUAGCUCAAGAAAAUGAAGAAAAGGAAGAACAAGCCAUUUAUUAUCUAAGCCGACGUCUUUUAGAUACUGAAAAAAGGUAUUCGGCUAUUGAAAAGCUAUGUUUGGCUUUAUAUUAUUCAUGUACAAAAUUAAUAUAUUAUAUUUUACCAACUGAAGUAUCGGUAAUAUGUAAAACCGACUUGGUAAAAUAUAUGUUAUCUAAACCAGUAUUGAGGGGGCGGAUCGGAAAGUGGAUAUUAGUUUUAUCCGAAUUUUCUCUUAAUUAUGUUCCCGCCAAAGCUGUUAAAGGUCAAGCUAUAGCCGACUUUCUGGCUGAUCACCUAUGUGUAGAGAUUGAGGAGCCGAAACAAAGUUUAAUCGGCUGUCAGCCUUGGGUGUUGUAUUUUGAUGGUUCAAAAACAACCGAGUCUGCAGGAGCAGGGAUAGUGAUACAAUCUCCUGAAGGCCAUGUUUGUCAAUUCGCGUUUGAAUUAGAUUUCGGCUGUUCUAACAACCAAGCCGAAUAUGAGGCCUUGAUAAUCGGCCUUGAAAUAUUGUAAGAAUUGAAAGCAAAGUCAAUCAAAGUCAUCGGUGAUUCACAGUUAGUAAUCAAGCAGGUUAACGGGGAAUACCGAUGUGAGAAUCCGAAUUUGCAAAAUUAUUUGAGGAAGACAAUAGAAUUGUUAUGCAAUUUCGGAGAAGCCGAAUUUGAACAUUUGAACAGACAUGAAAAUGAGAAGGCAAAUGAAUUGGCCCAAUCGGCUUCAGGAUAUAGAGAGCCGAGGUCAGAGUUAAUAGUAAUACAAAGGAGAUUACUACCUUCGGUUCAUAUACGAGAACCGAUUAUAGCUCCUAUAGAAGUGAAAGAAGAUUGGAGAAAGUCAUUGAUCAAAUAUUUGGAGGAUCCUAAUAUAAGGGUCGAUUAUAAUAUUCGAAGAAGAGCUCUCGGCUAUUGUUUGUUGGAUGGUCAACUUUACAAAAGAACAGCCGAAGAAGUUCUAUUAAAAUGCUUAGGGCCUGAAGAAGCUCUAUUAGUAAUGGGAGAAACACAUGAAGGAAUAUGUGGAACCCAUCUAGCAGGAAAAAAGUUAAGAUGGACAAUUCGGCAUCUAGGAUAUUAUUGGCCGACUAUGCAUCAAGAUUGCAUAGAGUAUGCUAAGGGUUGCCAAGAAUGUCAAUUUCAUGGCUCGAUACAGAGGGUUCCUGCCUCUGAGAUGUACGCCAUAAUUAAACCAUGGCCUUUUCGGGGUUGGGCCAUAGAUUUAAUUGGAGAAAUUCAGCCGAAUUCUUCGGUUGGUCACAAAUUUCUAAUAGUAGCCAUCGAUUAUUUUACUAAGUGGGUGGAAGCCAAACCUACUCGGUUGGUUACUCAAAAAGAAAUUGUCGAUUUUGUAGAAGAUCAUAUAAUUCAUCGCUUUGGAAUUCCCGAGACAGUCACAACCGAUCAAGGGACAAUGUUCACAGGAGGACAGUUCGUUCGGUUCAUCGAGUCUCGAAAGAUAAAGUUGCUUCAUUCUUCGCCUUAUUAUGCCCAGGCAAAUGGACAAGUAGAAGCAGCAAAUAAAAUAAUUAUCAACCUUAUGAAGCGACAUAUCGGAAAACACCCGAGAAAGUGGAAUGAAAAACUUUCCGAAGUAUUAUGGGCAUGCCGAACUUCAGUGAAAACGGCAACAGGGAUGACACCGUUUCAGUUAGUUUACGGUCAUGAGGCCGUAAUUCCAGCCGAAAUAACAGUUCCUUCUUUGAGGAUAGAAAAACAAAAAGAUUUGUCGGCUGAUGAAUAUAGUAGUUUAAUGAUGGACAAAGCAGAAGAAGUAUGUGAUACUCGGCUGAUAGCUUUAGACAAUAUACAAGCAUACCAAAGCCGAGUGCGUAGCGCAUACAAUAAGAAAGUUCGAUCAAAGAUAUUUGUCGUCGGUGAUCUAGUACUUCGGCUGAUUUUUUCAAUCGGUCAAAAAGAUCGAAUGUAUGGAAAAUGGUCCCCAAAUUGGGACGGGCCAUUUCAGAUUAGCCGAAUCACAAGAGGAAAUGCAUAUUAUUUACAAAGCAGAGAUGGGUCAGAAAAUGAAAAACCAAUCAACGAAAAAUAUUUAAAGAGAUAUUACCCAUCCAUGUGGGAGAAUAAUUAAAAUCAGAGUUAGAAUAUUACAAGCCGAAUCAGGAUAGUAAGUCUUUGAGUUGAUUCCAUUCGGCUAUGAGAUUGACUUGGGCGGUUUCAGCAGUUUUCCUUCGGCGCUUCAUCAGAGGAUGAACUUUGUAAAGUUGAGAAAGCUCCUCUUUAAGCCUUAUCCCUUCUUCCUUUUUGGACUUCAAUAGAUCUUUUAGUUGAAGUCGGCGCUCAGAGGUUUGUGCGAGAGUAGAUUCGGCUGCGGCUAACUCUUCUUUAAGAGUAGAAAUCCGUUGUUGUAGAGCCGAUUCUUGAUCAGCCAAUUUCUUAUCCUCUUGAUGCACUUCAGUAGGCGGGGCUGCUAUAUCAGGGAUAUUCUUCUUAAAAUGAUCAACACGAUGAAAAUGUUGAUCUAAAACUACAAGUUCGGCGCCCAAAGAUCGCUGCCGAGCCAAAAAAGAUGAAAGUUGAAGUGAUAAGGUUGCUACAAAACAUUUUAUGCCGGGAGUAAUAUCUGAGCUAGACCAAAAAUACCAAUGCUAUACAUUUUAAGGCAUUCAUCGAACUUAUUUUGGAUGUCUGAUGAAAUGGUAAUGGUCGAAGAAUCAUCCCCUUCAUUGGAGCUGGGGCUUGAAAUCAAAAAAGAAUGAAGAAUCACAGAUAAAGGAUCAUCAGCAAUAGGGAAAGAAGCUCCCUGGGGCGAGCAGGGAGGAAUAGUGCUUGUGUCUUCGGAAGUUCGCCCGAGAGGUAUGUUUAUCUGUUCAUCCCUUGUAGUUGAUGUCGGGGCAGGAGCAGAAAGAGGUCAUGCAACCUCACUGGGUAACGGCGUCGUGCUCGCUGUUUCAACAAAUUUCUUCUUCUUUUCCAUCCCUCUCUUUUUCUCGAGACGGGCUUCCCUGUGAAACUGCCGUUCCAUCUGCAUCAUCGAAUAAUGAGCAAAAGGGGCUCGUUCAGGAGAAGACUGUAGUUUAAAAGAGAGUAAUAAAUAAUUAAGAAAUGUUCUUUUCGUACAACUAAUUAAUUUGGCUUACCCCAACAUCAAUCGUUUCGGUUGGAACAGAGGUAGCCAAAGAGGGUGUAGUAGCUUCUUUGGAUGGAAUGUCAGCCGAGGGAAUAUCCUCGGCUCUGUCUUUAGUGGUAUCAGCCGAAGGGGUACUUUCGGCUUGUUGAAAUUUUCUUUUAACAACUGACUUACGCCGUUUAGAAGACGGCGGGGGAGUGACUUGAACAACUUCGAUCGGUCUUUUGUCUGAAGUUGAGACCGAUGGAGAAGCAGGAAUCGACUGAAAAUAGAUAUAAACAAAAAUGAUGAGCAAAGAAAAAAUUAUGAUUAAGAUGAGUAGAGAAAUGAUAUUUUACCGAGGAAGAAGGCGGGGCAUCAGAAAUAGUGUCUGGUGGAGACUCAAUCUCGGUUGGAGAAUCUCUGCUCGGAGUCGUGGCUGUGUAUAAAAUAAAAGAUAAGUUACAGCCAUAUUAGAAGAAAAUUAUAAACAAAUAUUAUAUGACUAACCAAGUGGAUGGAUGGUUUUGGGGAAUGCCCGAGGCAGAGAAAGAUCGAAGGAGCGGUCGGUAAACUGAUCCCACGUGGUAGCAUAGCCGGCAAGGGCUAUCCCUGUAUAGUGCUAACUGAAAGAAGCGUCUGAGACGAUUCCCUAUAGCCGAAAGCUUAUCAGCUUCAAAUAUGCUCUUAGUGGGAGGACGAUGAUCGGCUGUGUUGGCCGUAAAAAAUUUAGAAGAAGCCGGGAUCGGCUGAACGAACCUAAAUUGCCGCGCCACAUACUGAGGGGAAUAAACCUUAGUACUCGGCAGUAGUUUCGAACGUGAUUUAAGCCCCACAUGAAGGUCCCGGGGGGCUAGAUACGAAUACCAUACAUCCGAAUGUUCACCGGCGCGAGAAGAAGAAAGCUCGCCCUGAAUGGCUUCAAACGGAGCCAGGAACCAAGAGGGGCCGGUGAGACAAUCAACAAAUGGAGCCCAAGAAAUAGCUGAAUCAGAGGCUGGCUCAUAAAACGUCUUGAAAUAAGUAAGAAAAUCAGAGGGCUGACAAGAGGUCAUCGGCUGUGGACAACCGAGAGCUAGCCCAUAAGAAUCAAAUUGGGCAGCUGAAAUCGGAUUGAAAGGGGAUUGGCAUAAAGCAGGAAUAUAGAAUUGAAGAAACAUUUGCAGAAACCAAAAAACGCCACACCCAGAGCUGAUGGCAAUGCCAUCACCAGAAGGUAGUGGCUUAAUAGAAUCAAAAACUUCCCUGUAAACGAAAGCAAGGAAAUAUGGCCCCAAGGCCAAUUUAUCGCCGUUAGAUAAACCAACGACGAUCGGAACAAAAUCUCGGUUAAUUUUCUACCAACGAGUGCAUAAAAGAUUGUGGCAUAACCAGUAUAGAAGGAACGCCGUGUGUUCCUUCCUGGUGACUGGGGCAGGGGAUUCACCUGCAAAUUUUCGAAGAAAUUUGGAAUAAGCCAAAUCAUUUAGAUCAAGGUGUGCCUCAAAAUCAGACACACCGUCAGGAUUGUAGGCUAUAGAGAGAGUAAUGCCAUGAGGGCGUAAGCCAACAAUGGCGGCCACAUAAAAAAGAGUGGGGGUAAGAGGCCCCCUUUUGAAAAGAAAAAUAUUAGAAACAGGGGACCAGAAACAAAGAGCAGCGGCUAGAAGAAGAUUAUUGGCUAUAGGAGGGUGCCGAGAUAAUUGAAUUGCUUCAUAAAUGCCGAUUUCCCGCCAGAAGGCGCCAAAAACGGAUUCUACUCUAUCUAACCAGGCCAAAUAUGCUUCGGAAACACUAGGCCAGGUUCUGAGACUCUUUUCUGUUGAAGCUGAUGAGUACCAAGAAUGGGGAUGAAUAAUCCUUUUCAAAGGAAGUCCCUCAUCAGAGAAAGGGGAGUCAGUAGGAGAUGGUGCAUCUACAAGAGAAGGACCUAAUAUGAAUCUAGAUGGAUCUAAGUCAACGAAAGGUUUGAGUAUAGUAUAGUCAAGAGAUGGAUGAGAAGGAAGAGGAGGAACCAAAGACAUUGUUCAAAAGAAGAGAAGAGCCGAGAGAAUCGGUUACGAAAAGCGAAGAAGGAUGAAAGAGACAAAUAAGGGGUUUUAGUGAAGGAUAUGAGGAAAAGAAAUAAGAAUUGGAAGAGACAAAAAGAAUGGGAAGCUUGAGGAAGAAGAAAAGGCCGUCGUAUCGAACUGUCGCAUCGAUUACGAGUCCCAAGGUCGGCUAUAAUGAUGAAUAGACAGCGACAAUUAAGAUGAUUUAAUGCCGCACAUGAGACAAAAGUAGAGUAUGCGAUCAGAGCCGUAAAGAAGAGAAUAAACGGCUUAGAUUAAACCGUACAGAAGAUCGUAGUGUAGAAUACGUCAGAGAAUUUGAAUUUGAUUGGACCGAGAAAUACGCCUCGGAUCAAGCUCGCUUUCGGCAACAGAAAAUUGUUUGAGAUGAAAAAGGUAACGCCAGCUACUGAAGCAUCGCUUCGAAAACUGGCGAGGGGGCAAUUGUUGAGCUAGUUAGGCGCGAACAGCUGGCAUGCCUGGUCCAUAUCCAUAAGACGGCUAAAACGGUAGACCUAGAGUACACCGGACGCAUGCGAGUCGCACUGGACCGAGGAGUUAUAACAACCGCAAGCAGUUACGAGCGGUUCCGAUCGGCCGAAGGUGGUCCUACGAAUCAGGAGAUAGUGGCUGAUCGUGCAAGAGCAAUAACUGACGCAAAGGCGGUUCUAUAAAUAGGCAUACGAUACCCUGAAAAAGGGUCUUCGCUCCUGCGCACAAAAGACCACCUUUAUUUUCCUGCAUCUUUCUAUUCUCGCAUUUACCGCUUUUCUUAGGAGUAGUUCCGGUAAUUUAGCAUACUCGGAGUCUGUCUGCCCUACGGGCAUCACUCCCCUGUUCCCAUACUCGGAGUCUGUCUGCCUACGGGCAUCACUCCCCUGCUGGUGUACUUUUUCCCAUUUGCUAUUCAAUAGAAAGUCAUCUUCGGCUUUUCCUGCCGAUCAGAUCACAAGUUGUUUAGCCAUUCGGUUCAUUUCUUAGUCGAAUUCUGGGAUUCCCCUCUCCAUUCGGCUCAUCCUGCCGAAGUGAAUUUACUGUGGAGGUUUUUGAACCUGGCUGAUUCGAUCCCUCAUCGGCCUAAUCGCUUGAUCCUUUGUGGGCGCAUACUUCGAGGGUCAUAAUCCGCAGCCGUCUCGCACCCCGACGUUCUUCCCGAGGAGAAUUCUUGACCAGGUCAAGGGUUCGGACAUUCGGCGCGCAACAAUACCAUUAUAGGAUUUUCAUGUCACAAGACCCAAUCCUCAUGCUACCCUAGUCCAUGUGUUCGACUCAUAAAUUACACUACUAAGAAGCAUGCAAGGAAAAGAAAAUAUACAUCUAUUAAUCCUAUAAUGCAAUAUGAUCAACAUUUAUAUAACUUAGACAUAAAAAGAAAUCCGGAUGCUUUGGGAUGACACCCCCACCUCUUGAGGGUAUGGAGGCUCUAGAAACGCCCUCCAACGGACUUUACGACGAGGCUUUAGCCUUCUUGGUCUAAAUGAAGCUUGGUCGGUCUUGUUUUGCCAAUAGUUUUUUACCCGCUUUACGAAUGCAAAAUCCGACUUCGCCCCCGCGUUUAGGCACCUAGCAAAUAGGUUUACAUGGUCCCAAAUUAGAUCAAUCUCAUACUUUACCAAAAACCCUAUUUUGGAGCCCUAGGGUUAGCAUCAAGCCAAACCCAUCUCAAAACCCUAGAUUCUAGCUUCAAUCCCACCAUUCAUGGUGCUAGGGAUCCAUUUGAUCCCAUCCAAAGAGCUAAAACCCAAAAACCCUAAAUUCCACAACUAGGGGUAGAAGCCUACCUCUUGUUGUAGCUUCCAAAUGAGAAGAGAGGAAGAGGGAGAGGUCCCAAAAGCCUUCUUAGCUUGAUCUCCUACUACAACAAAAUUACUUUUUAGCGGUGAUUAUUUUUUAAAUUAGCGGCAAUUACAAUUGCCGCUAAAAUGUUUUGUGGCAAUUUUAACAAUUGCCGCUAUUGGUAGUGUCGCUAAAAGUUUUAGCGGCAUUUAUUCCGACGGUUGGUAAAAAUUCAAAUAAAUGCCGCUAAAUAUUAUACAAUAACAACUAUUAUAAAUGCCGCUAAAUAGUAUGCAAUAACAACUAUUAUAAAUGCCGCUAAAUACUAUAGAAUAACAACCAUUAUAAAUGCCGCUAUAAUUAAUAAUAAUUGCCGCAAAAUGCCGCUAUAAUUAAUUAUAAUUGCCGCAAAAAACAUAUUAAAUGAUUGAUAAAUAAAACUUAUAGCGGCAAUUAUAAUUAAUAUUAAAAUAUUUGAUUAACAACUAAAUACUACAAUGAAUUGAAAUAUUAAAAAAAUAGUAGUAACCAAAAAGCAUUAAUAAUUUGUAUAACAAAUAGUCUCAACUCUCAAAUUAUAAUUUCAAUAUUCAAAUUAAAUUUCGAACAUAAGUUCUAACAAAAAAUACUUGUUCAAAAUGUAGCAAAAAAAUAACAAAUACCGCAUGGUUGAAACUCUUGCUUCCCACUUCAAUUUCCGCAGCUCCAGCUGUUCUGGAUCAACCAAAAAAAAGUCAUAAAAUCAGUAUCCGAAUUUACCAAAUAAAAAUCAUCAUAUGGGCAAAUGAUUGAUAGUACGUAGUGCUAUACAGAUACAUGCAUGAAUAUCCUAAGAUGUUGUCUGGUGAAGCAUAGACUAUAUAUAGAUCUAAUCAGUGUGUUCUAAAUUCUACUUAAUAUUAAUUGGCGAGUUCCUGAUGCAGUGUCAGCAAUUUCUUCCAAGUAAGGUAAAUAAUAAAGUCGAAAACUUUUCAAAAAUGUAUAAGCAAUUGGCCUUCUAGAUAAUAGUGUCAUCAGUGACAGCAAUUCCUCAAAACAAAUAUAAAAGAGUAGUCAAACUAGAAAAUUUAGCAAUUCUUCAAAAUAAAUGAAGCAAAGCAUUUUAUUGGAUCACUAGUGAAGUUACCCGCGCAUUGCGGCGGGCUGAUACUGUAAGAGAUAGAAAAUUAGCAUAAGUAAAAUAUUUUAAACUUUUUUCACUUGUCAUGAGAAAUCAAUCAAUACAAAUAAAAGAUAUGAAACAAAUAUAACAAAAUUUAUAAUUUUAGCAAGUAAAUUACACGUAAUAAUAAUAAUAAAAAAACAGCAAUAGAACACUACUCCACAUACACCUUAAUUGCGCUGUCGAUAUCGGGAAGGCGAAUCCUGAUCCCCACUUCUCAUUCGCCACAACUGUUAGCGUCGAGCUUCUCUUCAAUCGCAGCAACACAUAUCUUAUUUUAUUUGUUUCUUUUAUAGAAUUAAUUUGUUUAGAUGACAAUAAAUAUGAACAUAUUAAUUAAGAAAUGAAUACGUGGGAAGACGAAACAUUAUGCGGAGAUAAAAGAUAAUAAAUUCGAUCAUUAGGAAUAAAGAAAAAGGCAAGAAUGGGGGAAGGAGGCAAGGAUGAAGGAGGCUUUGCCAUGUGGCAAAGUUUAUGAAGAAUAAUGUUGAGAUCGAAGCUUAGGUUUGAUCUCAUUCUAACCUAAUUGGUAGGUCAACGAACACAUCGGUGCGCUCGGUUCGACGAUACGACGAGCGUGCGCGAAGAUAUUGGGAAAAGAAGCUAAAUUGGUACAGAUUGUCGCAGCUUGCGGUGAAAGCAUCUAAAAAUUGUGGAAAAUUGCUUUUCGUCAUCCUUGAAAUACUAAAAGGUGGGGGGUGCUAUCCGAAAACAUCGGAUCUCUUUCUAUGUCUAUGUCCCUUUUAUUGAGCAUAUUGCUAAUGUAUAUUCAUGCAUGUAGGGUAGUAAAUGAAAUAUGGUUGGUUUUGCUCAAUUAUCUGUUUAAAGAUUAUUGUGAAUAGAUAAAGAACCAUGUGAAACAUAUGAGAAUGUAAGACCCUAUGUGCAUGUGAAUGCGAGAAAAGACUUGGACAAUAGUAAACAAAGGUGACAUUGACAUUAGUGACCUGAUUGGCACCGUGAUUGUUAAUGACUAAACAAGGUUUAGCUUAUUGUGGUAUUAGGGCCAUUGCGGCUUUAUACAUUGAGACAGGUUUGGCAAGAUUUCUUCAAAUUGAGGAUUGGAUCGUACUCACACUAGCUUUGGCUUGAGGAAGGUAGCUCCUUCUCAAGCGGUGUACUUCGGAGUGUAGACACCAAGGGGAGCAGCCCGGUCAUUGUUCCCUCGGGUGGUAGUGCUAGUAGCCUCCCCCGGUAGACGGGAAUGGUGGUCUGUGAGAUUUGAGGUGAACCAUGUGUACCUCGGGAUGAUUGGGUAAAGGCCAAAAGAAAAGAAAGUAAACGAGAAAGAACGUGCAUGCAUAAGAUCUAUGAAUUGAUUAUCUACCUAUCUGUUGACAGUUAUUUUGUUGGCAUUGUAUUAGUAAUUGCAUUAGAUGGUUUGAUAUCUACUCUUAUUGAAAUACAUAUGCCUGAGAUAGACCUAGUAGGCGAGUCGGCGCGGUCGGCGGCCGAACCCACUGGGAACUUCGUUCUAGUUCUCAUUACCACUAACUCUGCAGAUUCGUGCGCGAGCGGGGCGGCGGAGGAUCGAGGCAAGGGUAUCGCGCCGUAGAUAGCGGCCUCGGAGUUUAUAGGCAUACCCUAUAUUUUGGUGUAUUCAACUUUAGUAUGUUGAACUUGUAAUGUAAAGAAUGAUAAAGAUGUAAACUUUAUUUUGGUUAAAGGCAAAAGUAAAUGUAAAUGAUUGGUAAAACAUGAAUGUAAAUGUAAUGGUUUACUUGCGUUUGAUACAAAUGUAAUCAAAUGACUUGUAUGUUGAAUGCUUAGAUAGUUUCGAUGCUUUCACUUGUGGUUGUUGUUGUUUGCCCUCGUGCAAACCUUGUAUAUCUUGCAAUUUUUUUGUUGACUUGCUUGUAAUAUACAUGUUGUUGGAGCCUUGGGUGGACAGGGGAGGUGCUGUCCGUUCGGCGUCUGUCAUGUGCUCGAAUCCGAUCAAAUUGGCGGAGCUCGGGGCGUGACACAAAAUAUGGGAGUGAGGUUAACUUUAAUUUUUUUUUUUUCAAAAGCAAAUUAAUAUCAGUCGUUGGAUGCGAGAGUUGUAGGAUGUACAACCCAAUGUGGGUUGUACCAGUAGGAUAACUCUUUUUUUUUUUUUUUUUACAACAACACAGUUCCAAAAAAGGUACACCUACAAAACAAAACCAAAAGGGAUAGACACUAUCUACUGCUCCACGUCCUUUCCUUUCUCCGCCGCGUCCGGCUCUGAUGGACCUGAAAAACGAGAGUGUGAAAACUAUAUAAAUAUCAGCCGCGAACGAACCGGCCCCGCCGUAGGUGUUUCUAAGGCGAGUGGUCAUUCAUGGUAGAGAUUAAAUUUGUUUGAAUUUUAUUUUGAAAUCAGGAUUAUAGGUUCAUGGCUUCCAACAGACUCAAGAAUCUGCUGUUAAUUACCCCACACUUUCGGUGUUAAGGAACCCUCGAUUAAGAGACCAAAUAUAAAUGCUGAUAAUAAAGGAGACCAAACAGGCAAAUAAAAUUUUACUAAUAUGAUUUGCCGUGUACAUGGCUUAAGCAGGGGCAUACCCCCACUGUACAUAAAUUUUAUAAGAUUAGAUACUCAAUUUAGUGACUUGGUGUGUAGUGUAUCGGAUUUUUUUAGUAUAGAAGUACGUGUAAAUAAAAAAUAGUGUAAGAUACUAUUUUUUUAUUGGACUUAGUGAAGUUUCCUAUGUGUAAGUGAAGGGUUUACUUGGAGGUGAAGUUUCCUAUGUGUAAGUGAAGGGUUUACUUGGAGGUGAAGUUUUUUAUGUGUAAGUGAAAGGUUUACUUGGAGGUGAAGUUUCCUAUAUAUAUGAGGGACUUGAGCCUUUUCUCUCAUUCUCCACCACUUAAACCAAAAGAGAAACCUUCUCUUUCUCUCUCUAAACCUCUCUCUCCUAGAGUUUUGCUCCAAUAGUGGAGAUUUGGUGGAAGAAGCUUACUUGCAGGUGAAGCUUUCUUCUUCUUCACCAUUGGCUUGAAGAGAGCUUGGGUUUGCGUUGGAAGAAAUCGAUGGCCAUAAAAUGCGCUGCUAGGCUACCCGCUUCGUGUCGACGCCACGAGGUGGGGGGUUGUCACGCCCCGGGACCCAGCGGGAGCCCGCCCGGCGCGUGCCCAGACCCGCCAUAUGUCUACAACAUAUAAGGCGUCUAAAAACAACAAUAAUAACAGCAAUAAUAAAAGACAUCUAGAAGUAUCAGAGCAUAAUAAAUGUCUAAAUGCUACAACAAGGGAUAAGGAUAAAGCAGUAAAUCCAUUAAGUAAAACUUAGAGUAAGAACAAUAGAAAAUCCCAAAUACAAGAGCUAUUAGUAGGUACAUAGGUGGUCUCUAUACAUGGAUACAAAAUCUCUCACUCUCUCUCAACUACAAAAAGAAGGAGUAAACCACCUAGGCAAAGUACCGCUCCUCGCUAGCUAGCUAAGCGAUCCCCUUGCCGCGAUCCCGUGCCUCCGCCGGUGCCGAAGGCUCUGAAGAGGAAACAUAGAAACAGGGGCGUGAGAACUAUUAAAAAUAGUUCCCAGUGGGCAAUUACUGACUUCAGUGAAUGCACCACAAGGCCCAAAGCUACAGAAGAGGUUAGUGACCAAAAAUGUAGAAAAGCGAAAGGUAAGUAAAAUGUAACUUACUACUACAUGAUAUCUCUACUUAGCCUAAAUAGCAUAAGUAUGAAACAACCAUUCAUGAAGUAACAGUCUCCAACUAUCAUAAUGUCCACAAUGCGAAAUAGUAAAGUUCCGUUGUUUACUAUUCUAGUCAAUGUCCAAGUAAUAACUCUAAGUCAUCAUGAAUACUCGAAGUCAAAAUCUGAAGAGACCCACCCGAAGGCUGUCUAAGGCCUGAGACCCACCCGUAGGCUUGUCUGGCCGGUUGCCGAGCCUAAUGGCCCCGUGGUAGUCAUCAUCCCACCCUAGGAAUGAGCCUGGCCCACGGCAAUCCACUUCCGGCGCCCAAUCCCGCACGGCGAAUAUGUAUCGCGAUGGCCAUUCCGGAGUGCCGGCUGUAGGGAGCGACCUCACAAGCAUGUCGCGAAUGGCACAAUGGCAAGUAAUCAAACAAUCUGUCGCAACAGUACCACAGUCCUCAUGUCUAAUAACAUGUAUAUAGUUAAAUGUCCUUGUGGCCAAGUCACUAUUUCAUCAUAUCUCAAAUAUGGGAAUAUAGUUGAUGUCAAUGUGGCCUAUUAUCAAGUCUCUAUGUUGCAGUUUAAUAAUUCUCUAGUCCAAGUGCCUCUUUAUGACACUAUGGCUCAUUUUGUACCCCAAUAUGGAAUAGCUAAGUUCAAAGAACUUAUAGUUCUAGUCAAAUCGAAGCCAUGAAUUUUGAUUUCCUAUCAUCUCAUAGAAUAUUCGUCGCAUGCAUAUUAACAAAGCACAUCUGUCUCUCUCUCUCUACUACAUAGAGUAUAUUUUCUUGAUGCACAACAUAUGAGUUCUAAGCAUUCAAAAACUCUCAUAAAUGCUACUAAACAUGAAUAUGCAUGAUUUAAGAGAAGCAUGAAAGCAUUUAACCACUUCGGAGGGAUUUUCCUCCGAUCUCAAGGAAGCCAAACCCACCGAUGGCAAUGAAACUCCUCGGCACUCCAACGAGGUGUCCUCUAGUCUCCUAGUACCCUAAAGGUAUAGAAACAUGUGUCAAACGGGCAAACAAACAAAACUAGCUCAAACAUUAAGCUAAUCAAUCAUAGGUGAGGAAAAACUCACCUCUAAUGCAAAAAAUCUCCUCUAAAGCUCCAAAAUGAAGCUAGGGCUCAUCCAAUCCAACUAAAUGGAAGCCUCUAAUCCAAUCAAUCUAGCUUCAAAAAGCCCUAGAUUCAAAAUGCCCCAAAAUAAACCCUAAUAUCACAAUCUAGGGUUUCAUUCUCAAGAAAUCCCAUAAACUCGAAUCUAGAGGGGAGAGAACAUGUUGCUUACCUCUUAGAAGCUUCAAUCAAGCUCUAAACUAUCUACUAGUCCCAAGAUCUCCCUUCCACAAAGCUCCAAUCCCAAAGCUCUUGGCUUCAACCAUGGAGAAUAGCCCAAAAGGGAAAAAGAGAGGCUUAAAUACAAAUAAAAACCAACCAAAAUUCAAAGAAAUAGAGAGAGAGGGUGGAUGGAGAAUCCCCUACCUCUUCUCCUGCUGCUGUGAAGCUCAGGGAAGCCCUAAGGGGCGUGGGAGUUACUAAUAGAUAAGGCUACAAAAUCGCGAAAAACCCCCUGCCAACCAAACAGCACAAAAACUGCCUCCGUUGUACCGGUACACGGGCUCUUGUACCGGUACAAGGCCGACGAAAUCGCAAACCCGAGGCUCGGGUCGCGCGGUCUGCGCUCUGUACCGGUACCAAGCCCGAUGGCUGUACGGUACAACCUCAACCCUCUUGUACCGGUACAAGGCCGAGUCUUGUUCCGGUACCAAGCCCGUGCUGCAGGCUACCCGGAGAAGCUGGUCCAAAAAUCCCGAUUUUCGGAAUUUUGUGGUGCCAAGUCUCACUCCAACAUCCUCGGGAUGCGUCCAGGGGUUGGAACACUAUCACGACCCUCCAAAAACUGUGGAAAGGCUCCACACACAGAUCAAACACUCGAAUCUUGCAAUUUGCUAAGAAUCCAGUGCAUUACAGGGGUGUUAUCCGAAUUAGCCGGUUUUCAUUCUAUGUCUAAGUUUUAUUCAUUAUUGAUCAAUAUAUCAUAUGUAUAGAAUAAGUGAGCAUCCUAUGAGUUGUGUAAUUUCAUGCUUAGUGUGAGGAUGAUGAUCCGCAUGAUUUGCAUGAUACUUGUAGGAAUAUCUAUUUGCAUGAAUGUUGAGAUAGGUGUGGACAUGUAUAUUGCAUGAGAACUUUUAUAUGACUGCCAAUAUAGAAAUGUACUUAUGCAUGUUGCAUUGAGUUGCUAGCGGACAUAUGCAUGAGGAUAUGAUGUGAGAAUAGACUAGAUCAUGAGGAGCUAGUAUGUGAACCAAUGACAUUGUAAAAUUAGAAACCAUUGCAUAUGUGGCCGACUUGAACAUAGCAUGCCUUGUGAUUGUUUGGGGUGUGGGAUCCCCGAUGUCCACGGGCGGGAGGACUAGAUCAUACUCGAUUCGUCUGUUGUAUUUGAGGAGGUCGCGCCUCCCAUUUCUGUGAGCUCCGGAGUUGUAUCACAGUGAGAUUGAGACGGGGGAGGUGGUCAUGACGGUGUGCCCCCGGCAGACGGUCACGGUGGCGUGACAGUGUGGACCGAGUCGUGGUUCGACCUUUGGGCGAACCGAUUGGAUUGAAUCCAGGCAUGUUCAUGGCAUUACAUAGAGUGCAUAUGUCACGCCCCGGGACCGGUACCAAUUUGGGCCGGCCCGAGCACGUCAAACAGACGCCGAACGGACAGAGUUUUCCCUGUCCGCCCAAGGCUCAUCACAUGUACAUUUUAAAAAAGAAGUGUACUAGCGGAAACAUACACAAACGGCUUACACGAGGGUAAGCAAUAGCCAUGAGUGAGAGAAAGGAAACUAACAUUCAAUUUGUACUAUGAUUCAAUUUAGAUCAUAUACAUUGCAUUCAUAGUUCUUUACAAACUUUUCAUCAUUUUUUUUUACAUCACAUUGCCUCAAAUUAAACAUUACAUUCUUUUCUUUCUUUGCUUUGUACAUCAACAUCUUAAAUCAUCAAAUACAAAAGAUGAUAAAAGGGUAAACUACUAACAAAAUGUAAGUCCGACUCGGGUGGCCUCUGUCUAGGGUGCGAUACCUUUACCGCGGUCGCUUGCCGGCUCGCUCGGUCCCGACUCUGUAGAAUAGUGGGGUGAGAACUACAACAAAGUUCCCAGUGGGUUCGGCCCGAACAUCACCGACUUUCCUACUAGGACUAAUUCAGGUAUAAUAGAAAGGAUAAGCUGAAUAUAGUAACCAAUCUAUAACAUGAUGCUAAUAUGCCUGAACGAUAAAGCAAGAAGUAUGCUCAACAUAAAACUCAUGCAGAUUAUACAAGUUCUUUGUUCUUUCACUUUACUCUUUGUUCUUUGUUCUUUAUUCUUUGUUAUUUAAUCUCACGGCUAACCCGAGGGUUUCGCCAGAUUAACUUGCUUCAGAUUAAGUCCAUCAUCGCGGGCUCUCAGCUUCCUCCCGCUAAGACCGUCCUCGGGUUUACUCCAACCCGUGAUGCAAAACUCCGGAGUGCAUCGCCCGAGGGGGAGCGACCGCCCUCGAGCACGGAACUCAUAGCAAGUACAAUCGAAUCCUUAACUCUAAGGAUUAUAAGUUCAAUUAUGUCAUUACACUAACUCUAAUGUUCUUUUCAUCACUUUAUGUUGCUACUCUGGCAAUCUUGGUUCUUUACAUUUCUUUACCUUUGGCUAUCUUUAGCAAUCAUGUUCUUUACUCUUUGCAUGUUCUUUAUGCCCCACUUUACAUUAACUUUAGUCAUUGUCAUUACUCUUUACAUCACAUUGAUUCUUUGCCUCACACUAACUCUAGUGUCACUUUACUUUAUAUUAUCGAAUGCCACUCGAUCUAUGUCUCAUUGUGUCACUCUGUUCUUUUGCCUCACUUGGGUGCUCAUAUUUUAUCUCAUGCAUACAUAGGGUUAAACAUUCAUAGGAGUUCUCAAGCAUCUUAUUAGGCAAAUUGUACUCACAAUAUGCAACAUCGCAUUACUCUCAUCACAUUUACCCUACAAUGCAUGCAACAAUGUAUAUAACAUAUGCUCAAUUGAAUGACACAUUAGGCAUAGAAGAAAGUUCAACGAGUUUGGAUAGCACCACCCACCUCGUAGGUUCUCAAAGGUGCUCCGACGAUUUCCUUGGGAUUUUCAGACUCCUCGUUCUUUACCUGCGGCAAAAUGAAGCCAACUUAGGCCAUUUUGCCCAUAACUUUUUAUAGACUUAUCGUAACGUUAAUCCGAGCGCACCAACGCCGGAAAUACCCCCAAUUAGGUUUCUAGAGGGUUAAUUUCAUUUAGAAAUCCCCACGAGCAAAAGCCCCAAUUUGGGUGCUCUAGCUCCAUAGCAUAUAUCAAACCUACGGUUUGAUCUCUUUGGGAAGCAGAAGAAGCUUCAAUCCACUCUAGAAAGUCCAUUAAAACCAUCCUUAGUUCGAUCCAAACCCUAGUUUGGAUUCUACCAUGUGAGGGGUUGAAGCUCACCUUCAAGCUUCACCUCUUGUACUCAUGCCAUGGUCUUGAUCUCAAAUGAAGCAAAAGAAAAGCUUCAAAGACUCAAAAGGUUUCGUUAAAACCAUUUCUAGGUUUACCCAAACUCUAGUUUGGGAUUUAUCAUGAGAAGGGGCAAAGCUUACCUUUAAGCUUGCUCCUUUUCCAAGCUAGAGAAGGAGGGGAGAGAGUUGCUUCCACUCUUCUUCUUGUUCUUCACCUUCUUCUUCUUCUUAUCUUGGUUCUUCUCCUUCUCCUUGUCUUCUAGAGAGAGAAAGAGAGAAGAGAGGGUGAGG